rnacentral:lncRNA from 1 species
ACGGGCCGCACGGCCACCUGGUGGCGCGCAGGGUGCGGGACUCGCUGCCGCUCAGGCUCAUGUCCGCCGCGCGCGCCUCGCCCAAGACCGGGCUGGACAUGCCGGCCACCGCCUGGAGGAAGGCCUUCACGCGCGCCUACAAGGCCAUGGACAAGGACCUGCGCUCCCACCCCUCGCUCGACAGCUUCUGCAGCGGCAGCACCGCCGUCACCGUCCUCAAGCUCGUACGUCCGGACAUUCACAUUCACAUACUCUUCUGCGUCCCGUCCGAGCAGAAAUGUUCUGUUUCUGACCCCCUCUUUGUCCGUGCGCGUCGCGGUUUCUGCACGCAGGGCUCGGACCUUUACAUGGCCAACAUCGGGGACUCGCGCGCCGUCCUAGGCUCCAGAGACGCCGCCGCCGGCGGCAUGGCGGCCGUGCAGCUCACCGUUGACCUCAAGCCCGACGUCCCCAGUACGCCACUACACAAAUUCAAUUUAGCCCGUGCGUCAUUUCGUGCUGGUACUUUCUGUGUUAAUACCAGAUCACUGGUCUGCGAUGUCAGGCGAGGCGGAGCGGAUCAAGAAGUGCAGGGGCAGGGUGUUUGCGCUGCAGGACGAGCCGGAGGUGCCGAGGGUGUGGCUGCCGUUCGACGACGCGCCGGGCCUGGCCAUGGCGCGGGCGUUCGGGGACUUCUGCCUCAAGGACUACGGCGUCAUCUCGGUGCCGGAGUUCUUCCACUGGCCUCUCACGGACAAGGACCAGUUCGUCAUCCUUGCAUCCGACGGGGUAAUUACACACCUCUCGCAUUUCUCUGUCCUACUGUAUAUACAAGACAUGGUUGGUGGUCAUUCCUAUGCGCCCGUGCAACGGCAUAGAUAUCUGAGUCCGUUCCAGCAAAAUCUUGCCUCUUUCCUCUUGUCGGAGCUACUUAAAUUAGUUGCAGUGUAAUGUCAAUCUGUCACCCUUUUGCGUUCGCGACGCACUGAUUAGUCUCACAUGGCGGGCCUUCAACAUUCAAGGCGUAUGGUAGAAGCUCCAAGAACCUUAGGAAUGAUAGUAUACACGGACGAUCCACUCCUUUUGACUUCAAAAUGCUCUAGCUUUCGGGGUUGGUUGCGUAAACUGUCAUGGUGACAGGGGCGAUGGUAUUAGUUUCCGCCAUCUGUACCGUUGUGACUUGCUGCAUAAAUAACGAUUAGCCAGCGUAACACACUUCUUUGCUGCAUCGUCACCCACCUCUUGCCAUCGGCUGUACUUCAACUCUUAUAUCUUAUCCAAGUUCAGCUUGGAAGACUAAUUGGUUUAAUCGCUGUGGCGACAUCAUGAGCAGUUAGAAAACUGGGUGUAGCGUAGUGGCUGCUCAAUGCGUGAGGUAGAAUUGUUAUUCUUUUGAUCCAUCGCUUCUUUCCUUGUUAAGAUCUGAUCGAUGCAUCUGAAUAAGACUACCCACAGUGGGAGUAACAUAGGUAGUAACAUCAAUGCCAUUUAAAUAAAAAAAUUAUAUGACAACUAAUUAUUGAGGAGAGAGACAAAUUGAGUAACAUAGCUACUCCUUUGAGUAACAUCACACAUACUAUGAGUAACACCACNACUAAUUAUUGAGGAGAGAGACAAAUUGAGUAACAUAGCUACUCCUUUGAGUAACAUCACACAUACUAUGAGUAACACCACACAUAUCAUAUGACAAGAUGAGUCUAUAAACUAAUAAGUGAAAACAUCUAUGUUACCACCUUUAUGUUAUUACCCAUUAUGGAGGUAGUAACUUAGACUAGUAACAUAUGCAUGUUACUAAUCUAUGUUACUUCCCAUUAUGGGUAGUCUAAUGUCGAUUUCCAGCGGACAAGUUCGUACUCAUAAUACUACUAUUAAAAUUCUUAUGGUCCAAGGCUCCCUGCUUGAUUUUUUAGUUGUAAACUUGACGAUUGUCAAUCACUUAAAGAUGGAUAAUUGGCUCUACUCGUAAAUAUCGGGAAACUCCGUGUGCUUCAUUUUUGUGGUGUUAGGGGGCUGGCUUUGCUUGCUCUCUGUUGAUUCAACGAAAUUGAGGUCCAGGUGUAAGCACAUUUCUAUAAUUAACAUUACAUUUAACGGUGUACACAUCAACUUUGAAAGCGUUGCUGUGGAAUAAGUCGGGUUAGUCGUAGGUGUUUCUUCCAUAUCUUGUAAUGGUUCAUAUAUGAUUGCUUCAUUAUGUACUCUGCUUAAUACUCCUUCCAUCUCAUAAUAUAAGAACGUUUUUAACACUAGUAGUCUUAAAAACAUUCUUAUAUUAUGGAACGGAGGGAGUAAUUAAUAAGAACGCAUGUGUGCAUCACAAUGAUGCAGAAGCCAGAGGUUUCAAUCUCCUUUUGGAAAAAGGGCACCUAGUAACUCACAGAGGCCACCUUCUAAUGUGUCGUGACCCAUCAAAAUUUAGUGUGCACCAUGGACUGCCACUUUGGUUGAGGGAGUAGUAGUAGGGGUACUUCAUUGCAUAUCGCGUGGGGUUCUGUUGGACAACAUUUACUCUGGUUGUGAUUUUUCCUUGCUGUGUUCAGUGCAUAUGACGUUAGGCCUCUCCCAAUGCUCCAUCUUGUACAGGUGCUAAGGCUGACAUGUAAGCGAAAAAUCUGAUGUGGCAGGCUAAUUAAGAGGAGAGAGAUGAGUGUGGUAACUGCAGGAAGAAACAAUGCCAAACGCGUGAAUCUAGGCAAAACACUUAAAUGAAAGAAACCCACCAAUGCAUGAAAAACUUUAGUUGCUAAAUCAUUAAAUGAAGGAUGCUUAACAACAAGUUAAGCACGUAUGCAUUGGGGGCUUUAGUUGCUAAGUCCUUUAAUGUGCUUAACUCCUUAUCUUAACAGCGAUGCAUUGAAAUUAGCCUUAUGUUUAUUUUUCUAUGUCAAUUAUAGCGGUAAUGUGCAUGCUAUCUGGAGACAGUGUGCAUUUUGACGUUUGAUAAACUUACUCCCUCCGUCCGAAAAUACUUGUCCGAGAAAUGGAUGUAUCUAGAUGUAUUUUAAUUCUAGAUACAUCCAUUUCUAUCAUUUUUGUGACAAGUAAUUCCGGACGGAGGGAGUACAUGAUAGCAAACCUAUGACUGCAUCAAUCAAUGCAGAGGCCGGAUAUUAUUCUCCUUUUUUAAGAGAAAAGAAAAUCUUGAUAGCAAUCUCACCAUGUUUUCUUAAUCUUGAAGACGCCUUUUGCUGACCCUCCCCCCCCCCCCUCUCUUUUUAUGCACUGAGAAGGGAUGUUAGUGUCAAAUAUAAACAAUGUAUGGUACCAAAAGCAAGAUGUUGUCUUCUGUUCACCUUUGUAAGCGUUGCUUAAUGAUUGUAGUUUGCGUGGAAGAGUUGUCAAUUCUACCGAUGGAAUGUUCACAAAAAAUGAUAUUUUAACAAAGAGAUGAUCAUGUCGAUCAUCAGUCAUUGUCUUCCCAAUUGUUAUACACAGUUGCUCACUGCUCCUUGUGAUAUUUGGUCUACUUAAUUAUCAAUGCCUUUUAGAGUUUUCCAUUUGUGUCCUGUCAUCUUCUCUUGCGCGGUGCAUCUCCUUUGUUUCUUUGUAGUUGUACUUCAGGAAGAUAUACAAGCUGAACACAUACUUGAUUGGCUUUAUAUAUAUGUCUGACUAGAUUGUACCGAUGGGAAUCAUGCAGGUGUGGGAUGUCCUGAGCAACCAAGAGGCUGUUGACAUAGUGUCCUCGUCCCCAAGUCGUUCAAAGGCGGCAAGGACUCUUGUCGAGGCAGCUAAUCGUGAAUGGAAAACCAAGUACCCAACAUCCCGGACCGACGAUUGCGCGGUCGUUUGCUUAUAUUUGGAUGGCAAAAUGGACCACGAGCGUGAUUCGACCGCGUCUAUGGAUAACAUCAGCAUCGAGGAUGAUUCGGUCGCAGAUCCUAACGAAGUGCAGGAGCAACAGGAGCCCGCCUUAACGCGCAAUUUUACGGUUAGGACAGUCCCGGGGAGCGCUCAAGAGAAAGCCUUGGCGGGCGCAGACGCCAAGAUCUCCGGUGGAGCCGAUGAUCACAACUGGUCGGGCCUCGACGGAGUGACACGGGUGAACUCGCUCGUUCAGCUUCCCAGGUUCUCCGAGGAGAAGGCGGUCAGUUGACGACCUCCUCCCCCCAUUUUUCCUUGNNNNNNNNNNNNNNNNNNNNNNNNNNNNNNNNNNNNNNNNNNNNNNNNNNNNNNNNNNNNNNNNNNNNNNNNNNNNNNNNNNNNNNNNNNNNNNNNNNNNAUACAUACGGUGCAUACAUGCAUUCAACUUGUACAACACAUACAUCCGUACAUCACUAGCACACGGUACAUGGCAUGUCCCAUCGGUAUACCUUCGACGCGUGCGAAUCGGAGGGGUUCGGUCGAAGCGGACGUCGUGGUCGUCGUGGAAGUAGUCGUUCACGCGCCGGUAGUUGAAGUAGUGGUACACGGUCUCGUCGACGAUAGUCGUUUGCUCGGCGUCGUGGUUCACGGUCUUCGGCGUCGGUAGUCGUUCACGAAUCCGUAGAUGUCCGGGGUCGUCGGGGCGUCUUGGUACUUGUGGCGAACUUGUCGGUUCCACGGCGGAGGGGAACGGCGCACGCUGCAACGCAUGCGGCACCACAGCAAAUGCAUCGGCGCUGGUAGACAACGGCAAGCAGCACGGCAACCAAGCCACAACCUACGGCAACUAGUUAAGCAGCUAGUAACCACAGGCAAGCGGUGCAGCAGAGCAAAACGGCAGUCUAGCACAGCAACUAGCACUAGCAUGCAGCAACCUACCACUAGCAGCAAUGCAAACUAGCAGCAACAAAGCAAGCUACAACAGCAAUCGCACGGCAGCGGCGCAAGCACGGCAACAACAGCAUGCCACCAGCAGCAAUGGCGACAGCUACAGCAGCGGCGCGCCGGCAUCUCCAAGCAACAGCGUUCAACAGCAACAGCGGCAAGCAGGCACACCUAAGGCAACAGAACAGCAAAACGUAGCAACAGCGACAGAGCAACACGGCAGCACCGCAACCUACCAGCAGACAGGCUAGCGGCAACGGCAGGCAAGGCACGGCUCAGGACAGGGCGCUCGUACCCGGCCGUUCGCUGCUGCAUCCCGGUGAUGCCGGGGCGACCGGAGGAAGACGACGGGAGGCUGCUGGAGGGGCUGGCGACGAGGAGGCGACGGGGCAACGCGGGGAACGCAGCUCGGCGGGGCUCCAUGGGGAGGAGGAGGCCGGCCACCAGCAGAUGGUGCAGGCGGGCGCGGCGGCCAGCGCGGGGAGACGAGGAGAUUGGCGCAGCGGCGGAGAGCGCAGGCAGCGGGGCGGCCGAAGGCAAGCAUGGAGGCGACGGGGAGGCGUGGGGCGCUAGUGGCGCGCGGGGGAAAGGAGGCGCGGUGAGGAGGGGCCGACGGCAGGGGCUCGGGGCUAGGGCGGUGCUGGGGGAAGGGGACGCGCGCACGGGAGGCCAGAGCGGCGGCGCAGAGACCGGCGAGGCGGAGGGAACUGGCCGGUCAUGGCGUGGAGGGCACUGGGAGGAGGAGCGGGGAUAACGAGGGGAGGAGGUGGGUGGUGACGGCGCGAGGAGGGGGGCGAGACGCAGGGGAGAACGGGCUAGGUCACGGGGGAAGCUGGGCCUUGGGCCGGCUUCCCUCCCCCUAUUUGGUCUUUUGCUGUUUUAGCAACUUUUAAAAACAGAAAGUUUAAAAUAAAGGAAGGCCUUUAACAAAAAAAAGAAUAAAUGCUUUUGACCUCCUUUGAAAAAAAUAAAAAUUCCCAACUAUAAGAAAUAGUUGGGCAUUUUAAAAGAAAUAAUAUAAACCCCCUUUUUUAAGAAUUAAAAUUAACAUCUUUUGAAGAAUAAAAUAGACCUCUUUUAUUUAAAGAAUAAAAUAAAAGUGCUUUAAAAGAGAAAAGANNNNNNNNNNNNNNNNNNNNNNNNNNNNNNNNNNNNNNNNNNNNNNNNNNNNNNNNNNNNNNNNNNNNNNNNNNNNNNNNNNNNNNNNNNNNNNNNNNNNAGGAAUUAAUAAAUUCCAGAAAAUAGACGUAUAUUCAAACGCCCGUAACUUUUAUUCCGUUAGUCGGAUCGGAACGUGUAGUAUAUGGUUUUCGUGUAGUUUGGCGUGUAGAUUACGUUAUUGCAACUUUCAUAUUUGUUUGACGUCAUUUAGCGUGCCUAACGCCUUGUUUAGCGUGCUGUCUCGGUAGGUUUAUUGCCCUAGUUAUUUUUCGCACAUGUCCGGAUUGCCCGAACCCCGUAGAUAAAAUGUUCAUGUUUUAGGAACCAUUUUUCCAUGUAUUUUAGCGCGGUCAUUGGUAUUUUGCGCGUAGGGAUUGCCGCUAGUUUAUCUUCCCGUGUAUAGGUUAUUAUCUCGCAUUUACGUGUGGCGUUAUUUUGUUGUUGCAACCCCACAUAUUUUAUAUGUUUCCGGGGUAGAAAAAUCCAUGGGAUUUUUCUGUGCAAUUAGUUUUAGCUUUUGAGCAAGUUAGUUUGCGCAAUAUUUUGUCAUGUUGCCCUCUUGUUUAUUUCGUAGGAUUUAUUCCGUGCUCCGUUUGAUUAAGUUGUCAACUAGGGAGUUGUUCUUGGAUGUUUAGUCUAGCCCCUGGUAUUUUUGGUUGCAAUAGAAAAGCAUGUUUAGGUGUGGUUUGAUUUCCCUCAAGUUGCUAGAAAUAGUGCUGAUUUGGAGGUGCUGAAAUAUUUCUAAGUCUGGAAUCUGUUAUGUUUUGUUGCUGUCUUGUCUUGCUUACAACUUCUGAUCUGUAGCUCUUUUGAGGUUGGUCCAAUGGAGUUAGUUGUAGCCCUUGUGUUUCUCUAGCAUGCUGUGAGUUUUCAUGACAUUUGGAGUCCUGUAGCUAUUGGUUUUGCUGCUGUCAAUAUGCCUUCAGAUCGAAAACUGCAGCUUCAUAAACUUCUAUUUUCACUAAGUCUGAAAUAGUGUGUGGGAAGCCAUUUUGUGACUUGUUUUCCUAGUGUUCCUUGCUGCCAUGCUAGUUGUUGUUACUUGUUUGUUGUAGUGCUUCUUGCCCUCUUUCGUGUCAUGCCUUGGUUAAUUACAUUUGAGUUGUGUAGCUCGUAGUUGUGGGGUGUAGAAAGUGCUAUGCGGCUGAUUUUGGCAGAUUGUAGUGAUUUCUCGUUUUGCUCGUAGAUGUUGAACCGUAGCUCCGAUUUGAUCGUGUCCUACAUGAAACUUGCUUAGAAUCUCGUGUAGUUUCAUUUUAUCUUGCUGUUUGUAUGUUUUGAAGUGCUCGUUACCGUCGUUGCACACAUAUUGCAUUCAUGCCAUCAUAUCUUGCGGUGUCCGUAUCUUUUGAACCGUAGCUCCGUUGGAGACGUUCUCUAUGUGUAAAUUGCUUGUAACGACGCGUAGAAUCACGUGAACCUAUUUUUUUUCUGUUUAACAACUAAUUAAAUGUGUUAGUUCAGAUCUGGACAGAAUUGUAAAUUAACAUGUGAGGUCGUUUCGGAGGUGCUAUAUGACAUUUCCGACCUCAUUUAAAAUGCCUAGAUAGAUAGUUUAAUUGCGCUUCACCUCUUGCCAUGUUUAACCACAUUUAAUAUUGCUGUGUAUCUAAUCGGGAUAGAACUAAACAAUUAAACGUGGAGUUUCGUCAAUAUGCAACUCAUUGCAUAUUGAACUUCACUUAAUGUGUAGUGAUUGUUUGUCGUGAAUUGUCAUGCAGUGACUUGCAUGUAUUCAGCUGCUCAUGCAUCAUAUGUGUUGUGCAUCGUGUUGUGAAUAUCGUGUGUUGAUUUGUGUUUCCGGUUUGCUUCGUCUCGAUAGAGUUCCGCAAGCGUGCCGGAUUGUGAGGACCCGUUCGACUACGUCGGUUCGUCUGCUUCACGGAGGCAUUCUUCUUCGAAUCAGGAUCUCAGGCAAGAUGACCAUUUCCCCAGAUACCAUUACUAUCAUUGCCAUGCUAGUUUUAUCGCUUCUAUCGAUUAUGUCCCGUUGCCUACCACAUGUUAAAUAUCAGCCUCUUAACCAUGCCAUGGAAACCUUCAACCUGUUCAACCUAGCAAACCACUGAUUGGCUAUGUUACCGCUUACUUAACCCUGUGUUAGCAUUGCUAGUUGCAGGUGCAUUGCUUCCAUGUGAAAACAUGGGUUCCUUGUUAUCAUAUUAAUGCUAUUUAAUUUGAUGCACCUAUAUACUUGGUAAAAGGUGGAAGGCUCGGCCUUUCUAGCCUGGUGUUUUGUUCCACCUUUGCCCCCUUAGUUUCGGCUACCGGUGUUAUGUUCCAUAAUUUGAGCGCUCCUAACAUGAUCGGGGUUGUUAUGGGGACCCCCUUGAUAAUUCGUUUUAGAUUAAAGCUGGUCUCGCAAGGCCCAACAUUGGUACUACAUUUGCCCAACAUAAUAAUUCUGUUAAACUGAAAUGCAUCGGGAGUUAGCGCUACCCGAGGAGUAAUUCUACAUAAUACAGGGAGGGCCAGUGCUGAUGGUGCUGGUCCAAAACAGAGACCGUGCGGGGCCAACCCGGGGCAACUCGGGAGAUUUCUAUCAGGCCACCGUACGCUUCGCUUAUCCGUCGUGUCCUGAGAACGAGAUACGCGGCUCCUAUCGGGAUCAUCGACACGCCGGUCGGCCUUGCUGGAUUAGUUUUACCUUUGACGAGAUAUCUUGUGCAUCGGGAUUCCGGUGAUGCUUUGGGUAAUCUCAGAGUUGAGGUUUUCCACUAGGGAAUCCGACGAGAUUGCGAGCUUCGUGAUUGAGGAUUUCAAUGGGGCUUGUGGUGAUUUGUGAUGGACUAGUUGGAGCACCCCUGCAGGGUUAAAUCUUUCGGAAAGCCGUGCCUGCGGUUAUGUGGCAACGUGGAAACUUUGUUUAACACUGGUUCUAGAUAACUUGAAGUUAACUUAAUUAAAACUUGCCAAUUGUGUGAGUAACCGUGACUGUCUCUUUUGUGAGCCCCUGCUCCGAUCGAGACACGGUGGGGUUAUGUCUGACGUAGGUAGGUUUUCAGGAUCAUUCAUUUGAUCAUCUGUAGUUCACAUCCGCUAUGCGUAGAUCUUCCCCCCUCUUAUUUCCUGUACUCGUAAGUUAGCCACCAAAUAUAUGCUUAGUCGCUGCUGCAACCUCACCACUUGACCAUACCUCACCCAUUAAGCUUUGCUAGUCUUGAUACCUUUGGAAAUGAGAUUGCCGAGUCCCCUGUGGCUCACAGAUUACUACAACACCAGUUGCAGGUACAGGUAAAGGUUACUUGACGCGAGCGCGUUGAUUGUUCAUUUGGAGUUGCUUCUUCUUCAUCUUCUUCAUCGAUCUAGGAUGGGUUCCACGCCGGCAGCCUGGGAUAGCAAGGAUGGACUUCGUUCUUCUUUUCUCGUUUGUUUUCGUCCGUAGUUGGACCCUGCUCUUACUCUUGAUGAUUAUGUAAUAUACUAAUGUGACUCUGAUGUAGCUUGUGGUGAGUGUAAGCCAAUUCUAUAUAUACACCUCUUCUUUUCAGUACAUGUACUUGUAACGAUAUCCAUUCUUGCGACACGACGAGAUGCGCUUCUAUCCCUGACAAGGCCUUCGUGCCAAAUUGAGGAUAGGGUCGCAUCUUGGGCAUGACAUUGUUCUUCAAGGAUUCCUUUCUUACCUGGUGGCGAAGCCUACUCUUAAGGAUCAAAUCAUAGCUGGCCAGAAGCGUGAUAAGGGUAUAUCACGGAUCAAGGGGAAUAUUAUUAGAGGAAACACUAAGGAAUUCUCCAUGAAUGAUGAAGAUGUUGUGUUCUUCCGGAACCGUCUAGUGGUUCCUAAGAAUCCACACCUAAGGCAGUUAAUCCUUAAGGAGGCUCAUGAUUAUCCUCUCACCAUUCAUCCUGGUAGUACUAAGAUGUAUGAGGAUCUAUGCCAGAGGUUUUGGUAGACUAGGAUGAAGAGAGAAAUUGCUGAGUUCGUUGUUAACUGUGACAUUUGUCGUCGAGUUAAGGCGGAACAUCAGAGGCCUGCUGGCACCCUUCAACCUUUAGCUAUUCCUGAAUGGAAAUGGGAUAAAGUCAGUAUGGAUUUCAUCACCGGAUUUCCCAAGACCAAGAAAGGAAAUAAUGCUAUCUUUGUGGUCAUUGACCGUCUUCCCAAAGUAGCUCAUUUUCUUCCAGUUCGUGAAAGUAUAACAGCUAGCCAGCUAGCAGAGUUAUAUCUCUCUCGAAUAGUGUCUCUUCAUGGUGUUCCUCUGGAGAUUAACUCAGACCAUGGAAGUAUCUUUACUUCUCGCUUCUGGGAGAGUUUUCAAAAUGCCAUGGGGACUCACUUAUCCUUUAGUACCGCUUUCCAUCCUCAAUCAAGUGGUCAAGUAGAAAGGGUGAAUCAAAUCCUAGAAGAUAUGCUCUGAGCUUGUGUUAUAUCAUUCGGUAUGAAUUGGGAGAAGUGCCUUCCAUUUGCCGAAUUUUCUAAUAACAACAGUUACCAAUCAAGCUUGGGCAAAGCUCCUUUUGAAGUUCUCUAUGGACGAAGAUGUCGAACACCUCUUAAUUGGUCAGAAACCGGAGAGAGGCAACUCUUUGGUCCGGAUAUGAUCUAGGAUGCAGAAGAGCAAGUUCGCAUUAUUCGUGAAAAGUUGAAAACAGCCCAGUCUCAUCAAAAGAGCCAAUAUGAUCGUCAUCAUAAGGCUGUGACCUUUGAAGUUGAUGAGAAGGCUUACCUUCGGGUUACACCUUUGAAUGGAACCCAUCGUUUCGGUAUCAAGGGAAAGUUGGCUCCUCGUUAUAUCAUUCCUUUUCGCAUUCUUGCCAAACAAGGAGAAGUUGCCUACCAAUUGGAACUUCCUCCACAUCUUUCCAAGGUUCAUGAUGUAUUCCACGUCUCGCAACUCAGGCGUUGAUUUUCGGAUCCUAUCCGUGAAGUGGACCACGAAACGCUUGAUCUCCAAGAUAACCUUUCAUAUCGAGAAUACCCUGUGCGUAUUCCUGGUCAAGCUGAGCGUACCACUCGACGUUGAAACCUUAAGUUUCUUAAAGUUCAAUGGUCAAAUCAUUCUGAAAAAUAAGCAACAUGGGAAAGAGAGGAUCGUCUCCGACUUAAGUAUCCCGCGCUAUUCCCGACAACUUCCAAAUCUCGGGACGAGAUUCUUUUGAGUGGGGGUGAGUUGUCACAUCCCUGAUCCCUAUUAGGGUUAGCAAGUUGUGCUCAUGUAUUCUUUCCUUGCAUCCAAGAAAACAAAAUGAAAUCCAAAAUCAAAGCAAAGAAAACCAAAGCAAAACUCUAGUCACUCUUUAUUCAUGAAAUAUUUCAACAAGUGCCAAAUCAAUGAACCCAAAAUGGCCAUUAGAAAAGUUCAUAUUUUCUGUUAAAUAUUGAAAACAAGAUAUCAGUGAUGAAACAUAUUUUCAAAAUACUUUUGGCAUUUUAAAUUUAAGUUAAAAGCUACUGAAAUCAAUUAUAUAUUUGAUUUCAAAUAUUUCAAAGUUUCCAAAAAUGUUGAAAACUUUAUAUGUGGUUGGAAAUAUUCCAACUAACACUCGAGUAUCAUUCAAACUAUUUUAGGAAUAGUUUGGAGCCAAAAAUAAAACAAAACAAAGUCAGUAAGUAAAUAACAGAAACAGAAAAGAAAGAAAUAAGAAAAACCUUAACUUUCGCUCACCUGAGGCCUAGCCCACCUCGACUCCUGCCGUCUUCCUUGUGCGAGUCGGCUCGAGGAGGUGGCCGCCGCUCCCUGCUGCGCGGCCACACACCAGCGUGCGUGCCUGGCCGCCGCAUCGCGCCGGCAUGAAGGGGAUAAGCUCCCCGAAGGCCUCCCCUUGCUCAUCCCCUCUCCAUUCGCCCCAUGCUCUCUCCCCCUCUCGGCCGCCAUGACCGCGAGCUCAAGCUCGAGCUAGCAGUCGCUCCAGCCUCUCUUCCUCUCUCCUGAUCCGCGCAACAGCUCCACCGAAGCUCCCUGAAGCUCCUAAGCAAGUCGCUCGACGCCGAGAAGCUCUGAAACACCGUGACGCCUUCAUCAUCCUCCUCAGGUCACCGGAGCUCACCACCGUUGUUAUGCCUCCUCAGGCCAUCCUCGAGCUCACUUUCGUCGCCUCUGCACCCCCUGUGAGCUCAGGGUUCUUUCCCCCUCAUUUCCCCCUUCGAUUCCGACCUCUAGGCCCCGAUUCCACCAGAGCCCGACGAGAUCCGCCGCGGGACCUCGUCGCCGGUAGCCCUCCGGUGAUCGGCUGGUCAUUCUGAGGCCACCAAUGGCUUCAGCGCGUUGCGUAGGUGUUGUAGGUGCCUAGCCCCGCGCGUGUUGAGCCCCGUAGCACUGACCCCGAUGAUUCUCGAGCUUCGGCCGCCGCCGAGCUCGUCGCCAGCGUCAUCUCCGGCCAUUUCAACGCCUGCUGCAUGCAAAAAUGGAACCGCGGGUGAAGUGUCGUUCUUGUGGUGCCCUCCGAGUGAAGUUUGGUCGCUGGAAUGGAAAUCCUGAGCCUAGCGCCAUCUCUGUGGUUGCCGGAGGCUCAUCGCCAGUGAGAUCCACGUCGCCGCCGGUGGAUCUGACUCCCCUGAGUCACUAGCAAGUGGGGCCAGCCCCCAGGCUAAUUAGGAUUAGAAAAAUAAAAAGAGAGAUUAUUUUAAAACACUAAUCAGACACUGACAUGUGGGUCCAACCCUGUUAAUUAGCUAAUUAAGCUAAACUUAAACCAAAAACAGGCCAGAGUCACUUACCAGUGGGUCCCACUGGUCAGGUUUGACUUUGAACGGCCAGAUUGACCUGCUGAUGUCAUGCUGAUGCAAUAAAAUCUUUUUCUGUUUAAAAACAAUUCCAGAAUAAGUUCAAAACUUUGGAAAUUAUAGAAAAUUGAAUAUAACUCCAAAUUUGACAAAUAAUAUAUGUAAAAUGAUUAGAAAAAUUCAAGGAAUCUAAUGGUGCUAUUUUCAUGCAUGAAAAACAAAGUUAUGAAACAGCAUCAGGUCAAAUAAAUUAAAAGAAUUUGAUAAAUUAUAAUUCAAAUGAUAUUUGAAUUAUGAUUUCAAAUCAAGAUCACCCAAAAGGUUCUGUUAGUCAUCUCAAACCAUGCUACAUUGCAUUUCAUGCAUCAUUUUGUUGCAUACGAUUGAUAUUGAUUGAUUGUUGUUAUUCCGGUGGGCUCCGCCCCUGUGGAUACAUCUGAUUAUCCGACUGACGGAUAUCACCCCUCUGCUGAGCAACAAGGCAAGCAACCAUUUUGAUCAUCCCGAUAAAUCCCAUGUUCUCGCUCCUGCUCUUACUUAUUGCAUUAGGUUAAAAUGCUUUCAAUGCUUUUACCACGUUAGUUGAACCCACUUCCAUUGCAUGACUUGUUCUUGUCACAGUAAAUAGCUGAACCUUGCAACCUAGCAUACCUGGUAGAUGCUUGAGCCCUGAUGUGCCUUAUCCUGCUAUGCAUGCUAUGCUUGGAGUUGUGUAUGGUCUGUCAUCUGGAUGAUGAACAGAAUCGUGAGAAUGUGUUCAGUUGGUAAAGGUUGUGCAUUGAACUUGAUUUGGUAAAGGUACCGGUGAAAGGCUAUGUAGGAGUACAUGGCGGGUUGUUUCAUUGGAACCGUCCUUAGGAACUGAGUUCCGUGUAUGUAAUCCAAGUCAAGAUACUACCACAUGCUGGGCCCUGAAAUAUGACCCCGCUCGACUUAUUAUUCGCAUAGUACUCGGUCUAGGAGUUGCAAGUAGUUUCUGGUGUUUAUAGUCAUGCUGGAGGUCGUGCGUGGCGCUGACCUUAGAGGUGGGCUAUGAUGCGGUAGGCAGUGGUGGGGUGUACCAAGUGGCACCCGGAUGGUGGGCUUGGGAACCCUGCGCACAUCGUUUGGGGCCAUGGCGGAAACAUCGGCCAGACUUCCGUGCGGGUUACCCUCAGAUAGGCGAUAGACCUGGACUAAGUAUUAGCAUGGUUAACGGUCGUGGCUGACUCCCUCGUUGGGCUUCCGCUUGAAGGUUCCCGAGGUGCAUGACGUGCACAUAGCGAUAAGUGGCGAGAGCGUGUGUGAAGAAGUACACCCCUGCAGGGUUAUGAUCUAUUCGAAUAGCCGCGUCCGCGGAUAUGGACCACUUGGAAACAUAUGUUGUUCAUAGAUAACUAUAAUGGCUACUCAUAAAAUUGUCAAGAUAAGUGUGAGUGUCGUGGAUGGCAUUUCUGUAGGGAGACGGAAUGAUUCCACGAUGGAGUAUUGUUGUGGUGUUAGUGGACUACUGUGCGAGAAAACAUAGUUGUCAAAACUAUUUAAAAUGCAAGUUGUCUAGCCAAGAGUCAAAUUUUGGCUUUCUGCAUGAAAUCCCACAACUCCCUAUUGAUACAUUGCAUGUGUAGAUAGAUUAUCCUAAAGUCUUGCUGAGUACUUUUGUACUCACGUUUGCUUAAUAAAUUGUUGCAGAGGUUGUUAAUGACCCUAAUGGAGGGUUCUACCUAGACGUUGACGACGACGAGUAGCUGGUGUCCCAGCUACGAUCUGGCCCUAGGCUGGGUCUGUAGAUAGUCAGGCCAUGUGCCUUUAUCUUUCCAUCUGUCUGUACUUAGACAAUUUUAAUCUUCCGCUGGCUUGUAAGACUUGUGUGUAUGACUUGUGAUGCUGGGUCGUGAGACCCCUAUUUGUGUAAUAUUAUGUGUGAGGCUCUUCCGAGCCUUCUAAAUAAAGUUUGUAUGUUUAUGGUUAUGUUGUGAUGCCAUCGAUGUAUCUAUACUUAUCGGUAUGCCAUGCAUACGUGUGUUGUACUUGAUAUGUAUGGGGUUCGAAUACCUAGUCGUAUGCCUUAGUAGCACUCCUUAUGUGGAAAUGCCCCUUUGUGAUUCCAUCGAGCCAUAGUAGUUCGCUACUGCUCCGCACACAUUGGUUGACCGGCAUGUGUCCUUCGUAGCUGCUGUGUCUGUCCCUUUGGGAAAUGUCACACAUAUGUAAUGGAGUCCUUGUAGCUUGCUACGACUCGUCUACAUUCGCUGAUGACCGACACCUGUUUUGCUGGGUCAUGUAUGCAUGUUCUUGUAUGGAACUGCCGCUUGAGUUUGUGACUAGACAUGUCGAUCCGGGUUCUUUGACAUUGGAUUGCUAGCGACACAAUUGCAUACGCGAGUCAAAAGGCGCAAACGGUCCCGGCUACGGUAAGGCUGCAGCCGUGGGGAUAACCGUGCAUGAGACCGCAAAGAGAUGAGGUGUGUUACAGGCUGGAUUCCUAUGGCUUAGGAUCGGGGUCCCGACAGCGUUGGUAUCAGAGCCUGACUGAUUGUAGGAUUACUAAGCCAAACUGGUCGAAGUUGAGUCUAGAAUUGCUUUAGUUAUAUAGAAUGGAAUUUUUUGUGGAAGGUAACGUAAGAUUCUUGCUUCUCUUCUUUGAUUACUCUAUUCUGGUCAUCCUCGUCUUUUCUGCGGGGAUUAAGGACUAGGUUACUUAUCUUUCUCUUAGGCUCGUGUUUUUUCUGAUCGGUAGAUUAUAGGACAACGAGUCGAGACUUACUUCGAGUUUCUCUUAUUUCAAGGAAAAGAAAGUCAGUUUUGAUGAUCAUGGAAUUGAACUUGGUAGUUGAGUGGUUAUGCUAUCCUAUCUUUGUGGGAUGUCUCAUAAUUGUUUUAAGUCAUUUACAGCCGUUAUGCUGCCCAAAUUCUGUCUUCAGAGCUCUAAUGCUUUUUGCAUUACUCUCUAUUUUCAGAUGCCUGGCCGUCCUUCUCGUCAGUUGGACCGUCUGACUAGGUGCAUUGAUGUGCCGGGUCACACGGCCAUGCUAGUCCGGAUGAUGUCAGUAGCCGGUUACCGCUGGUACCCAGAGUACAUAGUGGAGGAGCAGUACCGGGAUUUCAAUCAAAGUCAGUUUCUGUGCACUGUUAGGGUAUUCCCAGAUUACCCUGGAGCUGAGGAGCCGAUCCAUUGGUCUUAUGGAUUGGGGGUUACUGUUGACAUGGCAGUACAAGAUGCUGCCUAUUCAAUGCUUACCAUCAUGAGGGCUAGACAUGCACUGCUGCAUAAUUCAGAUUUCUGAUAUGUUCCUGCCUCUCAGCCAGGAGAAGAAGGAUACCUCAGUGGGGUCUACUUUGAUUCCUCCAUGGAGGAUCCGCUGCUGCAGUCCACUGCUAAGAUGCUAGGGAAUAGAGACAAGGAUGCUCGUGCCCUUCGUAUGGAGCUCCAUGCUACACGUGCCCGUCUGCGGACGGCUUUGACACAGCUGGCACCUGUAGCCCAGACAGGGUAUGGAGAUAUGGAGAUGCUGAACCCUGUUAGGACCCAUCUUCCGGCUCAUGUUGACUGGCCUGCUAUAGGAGGAGUCACCACUCUUCGGGGACCUCUACUACCACCAGUCAGGGGACCAAGGCCACACCCGUGCCCUUACGGUUCCCAAGGGUCUCAGGCUGGAGUAUUUCCUGAUCCGCAGGUUGAGCUCCCAGGUCAUGGAGGCAACCUUUAUGAGAUGUUCUAUGCAGAUGCCUGAACCCGUGAGUGGAAGGAUAGUAUGGUAGUAGUUAUACUUCCACAGUCCUGUGUGUCUUGUGGAGUAUGCUUAUGUCGUGAGAUGAAUUCGGGAGGCAUAGAUAAAUAUUGUAUAGGAAGCUUGGAAAGCCUCUGAUGAGUUGUGUCAUCUUUUCAGUAGUUUGCUCUUUGGUUAAGGUUGUCCUGAACUAUGUAAUGGUGUGUAUGACCCAUGGUGUAUAUAUAGCAGUUUCUUGUUACCAUGUUGUUCGGAUGUUCAUUUCCGCAUUCCAUGUGUUUAGUGCAUUCUUAAUCCAUAGUUAGUAUUGAUGCUGAUAUUAGUGCAUUCCAUGUGAGUUUAUUUGUCAGGAUGGUGUUCACCAGGUUGAACCAUGCCAAUCUCACCUCCUCAUAUUUGCUAGCCUCUUCGGUACCGUGCAUCGCCCGUUCUCACCUUGAUGAUCGGUGCAACUUUCGCAGGUGCAUCCAAAACCCGUGACAUGACAUGCUCUGUUGCACAUAAGCCUUUUUAUAUCCUCCUCAACACAUCCACCUACCUAUCAUGACUAGUAAGUUCAUCAUCAUAAUAUAUUGCCAUGCAAAUACCAUCGUCACUUCACAUGACUAGUAAGUUCAUCAUCAUAAUGUUUUGCAUGAUCAUAUAGAGUUGACAUAGUAUUUAUGGCAAAGACACCGUUCAUCAUAUGUCAUGCUAGAUCUUUGCAAAUCUUGGUACACUCCCAGAGGCAUUCAUCCAUUGUCAUAUCGUCCUAUGAGUUUUCAUAUUGAGUUCCAAGUAAAUAAAACUGUGAUGAUCAUCAUUAUUAGAGCAUUGUUUCAGUGAGAAAAUAAAAAUGGGGGAGGCCAAAUGAGUCCACCAUAAAAAAUGUGAAAAAAUGAGAAUAGAAAAAAAUGAAUGAGAGAAAAAGGGAGAAGGUACUUUGCUACUAUCCUUUAUCACACUAGUGCCUCAAAGUGGCACCUUGUUCUUCAUAUAGAGAGUCUCAUGUUAUAUCAUUCAUAUGCUAGUGGGAAUCACUUUUUCAUAAACUCGACUUGUAUAUUCCGAUGAUGGGCUUCCUCAAAUGCCCGAGGUCUUCAUGAGAAAGCAAGUUGGAUGCACACACCACUUAGCUUGAGUGGAGCUUUCAUACAGUUAUAGUUCUAGUGCAUCAUUUGCAUGGCAAUCCCUACUCCUUGCAUCAAUAUCUAUUGAUGGGCAUAUCCAUAGCGCGUUGGUAUCCCUAGUUGAUGUGAGACAAUCUUCUCCACUUGUUACCCCUUUGAAACCUACCACGACAUUCUAUUCCACCUAUAUGUUAUGUCCAUUGGUUCACGCUCAUGUAUUCCAUGAAGAAUAAAAAGAUGAUGCAUAUUGAAAAAGUAUGAUCCAAUUGCUUGAGUUGGACACCAUGGUUCUUGACAUUUGUAUUGAUGUGGUGAAGAUGGAGCCAUGCCUUGCUAAUAUAAUAAUAUAAAUGGGGUAAAACAAUCUUUGAGGAUGGUAUACUUUGAAAGAUUAAUGAUUUUUCUUCUUAUACCUAUAAGUAUUGUUGUCUUAAUAUUUGUUAAUUCAUUGUUUCUUAAUGAGAAUACAUGAAUAAGGUUACAUUAUGGAUAACAUAUCACAUCAAUUUUUUUGUUUUUAUCAUUUACCCACUCGAGGACGAGCAUGAAUUAAGCUUAGGGAUGCUUGAUACGUCUCCAACGUAUCUAUAAUUGUUGAUUGUUCUAUGUUGAUGUAUUAUCAUUUUAGAAUACUUUUGGGGUAUUUAUUUACCAAUUCAUAUUAUUUUUGAGCACUAAACUAUUGACCUAGUGCCCAAUUCCUGUUCAUGUUUUCCCCAUGUUUUUCACUUUUAAGGUUUUCCAUACCAAAUGAUUUCCAAUUGACCUAAAACUUUUUGGUAAAAUUUUGUCAACAAAAAGAAGACCAACAAGCAUUGGAGGAAGGCUGGGGCCACACGAGGUCUUGAUACAUCUCCAACAUAUUUAUGAUCAUGCUGUUAUAUUAUCAUUCUUGGAUAUUUCAUAAUCAAUUUAUAGCAACUUUAUAUCAUUUUUUGGGACUAACCUAUUGACAUAGUACCUAGUGCGAGUUACUGUUUUUUGCUUGUUUUUUUACUUCGUAAAAAAUCAAUACCAGAUGUAGUCCAAAUGCCAUAAAACAUUUUGGAGAUUUUUUUGGACCAGAAGGAAACUUGAGGACCAAGGAUGUCAACCAGGGGAGUGCUAGGGGGCCCACUAGGCACCAGGGUGCAGUGGGCAACUAGCAUGCCCUGGUGGGUAGUGGGGGCCUCGGGCACCUCCUCCACCGCCUUUGAGCUCUAUAAAUAUCCAAGUACUCCAGAAAGCCUAGGGGAGCCGACGAAAAAUCGUUUCAGCCACUGCAAGUUUCAGAAGCAACGAGAUCCAAUCUAGAGCUCGUUCCGGAGGGGAACACGGUCAUGGAGGGGUUCAUCAUCCUCAUUGGUACUCCUCUGAUGAUCCAUGAGUAGUUCAUAUCAGACCUACGGGUCCAUAGGCAGUAGCUAGAUGACUUUCUCUCUCGUUUUUCUUCUCAAUACAAUGAUCUCUUGGAGAUCUAUUUGAUGUAGCUCUAUCUUUUGCGGUGUGUUUGUUGGGAUCCGAUGAACUACGAGUUUAUGAUCAUAUCUAUGAAAUUAUAUCUACGCUUGAUUAAUAUAGCCUCGUAUUUCUUCUCCGAUAUUUGGGUUUUGUUUGGCCAACCUGAUGUUUUUAUCUUGCAAUGGGAAGAGGUACUUUGUGAUGGGUCCGAUCUUGCGGAGCUCAAUCUCAGUGACGGAAAGAGACAUGACACACAUGCAUCAUUGCUAUUAAGGGUAAAACGACGGGGUAUAUUACUACAUGAAUAGAUCUUGUCUACAUCACGUCAUCAUUCUUAAAGUCUUACUCCGUUUCUCCAUGAACUUAAUACACUCGAUGCAUGCUGGACAGCGACCGAUAUGUGGAGUAAUAGUUGGAGUAAUAGUAGUAGAUGCAGGCAGGAGCGGUCUACUUGUCUUGGACGUGAUGCCUAUAUACAUGAUCAUUGUCUUGGACAUCGUCAUAAUUAUUCGCUCUUCUAUCAAUUGGCCAACAGUAAUUUGUCUACCCACCAUUUGCUAUUUUCUCGAGAGAAGCCACUAGUGAAACCUACGGCCCCUCGGUCUAUUUUACAUCAUCUAUUUGCAAGAUCUAUUUUAUUAUUCAUGUUUCCAUUUUGUUUGCUCUUUUAUUUUUAGAUCUAUAUUAUCCAAAAACCCAAAAAUACCUUGCUGCAUUGUAUUUACCAUUACUUUGUUUGCAUCUAUCAAUUUUUUUUAACGCUUUAUUUUACCCACGAGGGAUUGACAACUCCUACACAUGUUGGGUUGCAAGGAUUUGUUAUUUUUGUGAGGGUACUACUUACAUAGUCUUGUGGAUCUUCCUACUAGAUUGAUACCUUGGGUUCAUGACUCAGGGAAAUACUUGCCGUCGCUGUGCUACAUCACCCUUUAAGCUAUGAGGGAAAUCAACGCAAUCAGUGAGGAGUCAAGAUUUUUGGGCCCGUUGCCGUGGAGGAUCAAGUCAAGACCUAUCAGGUUCCCACACAUAAACUCCCAUGUCAUUGCAAUUACAUUAUUUGCCAUUUACCUCUCGUUUUCCUCUCCCUCACUUCACAAAAACAUUUGCCUUUUUAUUUGCUUCUUUCCAUUUGCCAUUUUCUUGCCGGAUCUCUUGCUUGUUUGCGUUCUUGUUUGCGUAGUCACGAUGACUCAAGAAAACACUAAGUUGCGUGAUUUUUCCAAUACCAAUAAUAAUGAUUUUAUUAGCACUCCGAUUGCUCCUCCCGCCACUAUUGCGGAGUCUUGUGAUAUUUAUGCUGCUUUGUUGAAUCUUGUUAUGAAAGAUAAAUUUUCCAGUACUCCUAAUGAGGAUGCUGCGUCCCAUCUAAACACUUUAAUAGAAUUGUGUGAUAUGAAAAAUAAGAAAGAUGUGGACACUGAUAUUGUUAAACUGAAAUUAUUUCCAUGCUCUUUGCGUGAUUGUGCUAAAAUUUUGUUUUAUUCUUUGCCACGCAAUAGUAUCAAUUCUUGGAACAAGUGCAAAGAUGCUUUUAUCACGAAAUAUUUUCCUCCUGCGAAGAUUAUUUCUCUUAGAAAUCAGAUUAUGAAUUUUAAACAAGUUGAGCAUGUGCAUGUUGCCCAAUCUUGGGAACGAACGAAAUUGAUGAUAAAAAAUUGCCCAACUCAUGGUUUGAAUUUGUGGAUGUUCAUUCAAUUUUUUUAUGCGGGAUUGAAUUUUGUUUCUAGAAAUAUUUUAGAUUACACCACGGGUGGUACAUUUAUGGAAAUUACUUUGGGUGAUUCUACUAAAUUUCUUGAUAAUAUUAUGGCUAAUUAUUCAUAAUGGCAUACUGAAAGAGCUCCUACUAGUAAAAAAGUUAAUUCUAUUGAAGAAAUAGAUGCUUUGAGUGAUAAAGUUGAUGCUCUUAUGAAAUUGGUUGCUAGUAAAUAUGCUCCUAUCGAUCCUAAUGAUUUGCCUUUGUCUACUUUUAUUGAUAAAAAUAAUGACCCCGUAUAUGUGAAUUUUGUCUCGCGAAACAACUUUAAUAAUAAUGCUUAUAUGGGUAAUUUUAAUCCUAGGCCAUAUCCUCGAAAUUCUUCAAAUAAUUAAGGUAGUUUCUAUGGUAAUUCUCAUAAUAAUAUUGCUAGGAUUCCCUCUCACCUUGAGAAUAAUAUUAAGGAAUUUAUCAAUGCGCAAAAAUAUUUCAAUAAUACAAUAGAAGAAAAGUAGAAUAAGGUUGAUGAUAUGUCUAGAAGCAUUGAUAGAAUUUUGCGUGAUGUAGAAAAUCUCAAGAAUAAUUUUUUCCUAAGGUUGAUAUUAAUGAAUCCGUUAAAGCUUUAUAUUUUUCUAUUGAAGAAAGUACGAAAAGAAACACUAUGCUUUGAGCUAAAAGAGAUUUUUUAGAAAGAGCGUUUCCUGAUUGCUUUCAUAAAAAUGAUGAAGACAUUAAAAUGAUUGGUGUUUCUUCUAUUGCUUCCUUGUUUAGUAAUGUUAAAACUAAUGAAGGAACUAAAGAAUAGUCAACUUUAUAUAGAAGGCGUUCCCAUGAUUUAGAGAGUGAAAAUCUUGUUGAAAAAAUGAUAAAAGUGGGAUUGAAGAGGUUAAAACUUUAGCUAGUGAUGCUCCAACUAUUUUGGAUUACAAAGACUUUAUUUUGGAUAGUUGCUCUUUGAUUGAGUGUAUUUCUAUGUUGCAAUCUAUGAUAAAUUCACCCAAUGCCUACUAAUAAAAUAAAGCUUUCACUAAACAUAUUUCGAAAACGGUAAUAAAAUCUUUGGAAGAAAAGUUAGAACUAGAGAUUUCAAUUCUUAGAAAUUAUAUGUUGAAUGGGAACCCACCAUUAAGAUCAAUAUUAAAUUUUUUGAGUUCUAUACUUUAUGUGAUUUGGGUGCUAGUGUUUCCAUAAUUCCAGAAUCUCUUUGUGAUGUGCUUGGUCUUACCAAUGUUGAAGAAUGUUCUCUCAAUUUGCACAUGGAAGAUUCUACUAUUAAAAAUCCUAUGAGAAGAAUUAAUGAUGUUCUUAUUCUUACAAAUAAAAAUUAUGUUCCCAUAGAUUUUAUUGUUCUUUAUAUUGAUUACAAUCCGUCUUGUCCAAUAAUUCUUGAUAGACCGUUUUUGCGUAUUAUAGAGGUCGUGAUUGAUAUGAAAGAUGGAGAUAUUAAAUUUCAGUUUCCACUAAGAAAGGGUAUGGAACAAUUCCCUAUAACUAAUAUUAAAUUACCAUAUGAAUCAGUCAUGAGGGAAACCUAUGGAUCAAUCACUUAAUAUGACAAUACUUGAAUCUAUGCUUUAUGCCUAGGUAGGGGCGUAAAACGAUACCGCUUGUUGGGAGACAACCUGAUGAAUAAAAUUUAUUUUUCACUUUUGCUUUAUGUUCUUGAGUGUUUGCACAAUUAUGAUACUAUUAUGAUUGUGUUUUUUAUGUUUUAGUUAGUGUUUAUGACAAGUAAAGCCUUUAGGAGCAUGUUGGGUGAUAGUUGCUUAGAUCUUGUUGGAAAAUAGAAACUUUUGCGUCUAGUUGAUGAAAUUAUAAAAAUUACAGAAGUGAUGAAAGUGUCUUAAUUUUUGAUACAAGAUUUUUAUACAAAUUUCCUACGUUUAGCUAAUGUUCCAGAAUUUUGCAGUUACAGAAGUAUGAGUAAAAUUCGAGUCCUUAUAGACCGUUCUGUUUUUUAUGGAUGUUGUUUCCUUUGCGUUGUGUGCUUAUUUUAUUGGAGUGGUAUAAGCCAUGGUAAAGUUAGAAUACAAUAGGUAUAAUGAAAAAAACAAAAUUGAAAUGGGUUUUCAACAGUACCUAAAGUAAAUAUUGGUGUUCUUAUACUAAUGAAUCUCACAAAAGUUUUGUUGAGUAUUGUGGUGAUUGAAGUUUUCAUGUUUUGGGUGAGAUCAUGAUGGAUGAAGGAAUAAGGAGUGAUAAAAGCCUAAGCUUGGGAAUGCACCAUGGAACCCCAUGGUACUAUCCAAAGAGUACCAAGCAACUAAGCUUGGGGAUGCCCCGGAAGGCAUCCCCUCUUUCUUCUAACAACCAUCGGUAAUUUUACUUGGAGCUAUAUUUUUAUUUGUCACAUAUUAUGAGUUUGCUUGGAUCGUCUUGUAUUAUGUGAGUCUUUUUUUAUUUCCUUGUUGGUUUUUCAUAAUAAACCUUUCCAUAUACACACCUAUUUUAGAGAACCAAAUUAUGCUAUGAUUUGUUAGAAUCGCUCUUUAUGCUUCACUUCAAUUUAUUAGAGCCAUGGAAUAGCUCUAGUGCUUCACUUAUAUCUUUUUGAGCACGGUGGUGCUAUUAUUUUGUAGAAAUUUUCUCUCAUGCUUCACUUGAAUUAUUUUGAGAGUUAUUAGAAAUUUUGAAUAAAUACUCUCUUGCAUCACUUAUAUUAUUUUGAGAGCUAAAUUUUUUAAAGACACUUGUGCUCUCUUUCUUCACUUAUAUUCCCUCCGUUCCUAAAUGUAAGACCUUCUGGAGAUUUUCAAAAUGAACUAGAUACCGAUGUAUAUGGAUUUGUUUUAGAGUAUACAUUCACUCAUUUUGUUUCGUAUGUAGUCCAUAGUAGAAUUUUGAAAAGGUCUUAUAUUUAGGAACAGAGGGAGUAUUUGUUUGAGAGCUUGUUAUUUGCAAUGACAAUUUUCUUUAAAUGAAAUUAUUCCCAAAGUGAUAGAUAUCCAGGGGAGAUAUAAUAAAAACUUUCAAGAAGAUCAUUGGAUGUUAAACUUGAUUCUUCGCAAUAGUUUUGCGAUAUGAAUAUAGUGAUAUGUGAGUUAUGUUGAUGAGUAAUUAUGCUUUAGUAAGAAUAUUGGUGUUAAGGUUUGUGAUUCGCUAUGCAUGCAAAUGAAGUCAAUAAUUAUGCUAUGAAAUUACAUCCUACUUGUGUUGCAUUAUUCAGUGUUAGUUAUGUUUAAUGUCCGCUUAUGAUGGCUUUCAUUCCUUGGUUGGGCGCUUCUCAAUCUAUUUGCUGGCCUUCACUUGUACUAAGCGGGAAAACUGUUUCUCCAUCUAAAUCCUAAACCCAAAGUUUUGCCAAAUGAGUCCAUCAUACCUACCUAUAUGUGCUACUUCAACGCCAUUCUAAGUAAAUUUGCAAGUGCCAAAUCUAAUGUUCAAAAUAAAUUUAUGUUCUAUGUGUCUGUACUGCUCAUGAAGCGGCGAGGGGUGGCCGGUAUCUUCCAUGCUAAAUAGGUUAUUCUCAAGAUGAGUGUUUAUGCACUUGUCAUUGCAUGAGUGUAUGGUGGUAAUAGGGAUGACCAGUCCCAAAAUGCAAAGAAGAUUUAUUUUAUGUUGUCAAAUAAAAAUUCCUUUGAAAGUGUUGGUAUGGACGGUACCCUUGGAUGUGGCUAUUGUGGAGUGUGAAAUAAUUGUGGAAAAAGGAAAACUUUAUUUUCAGUUUGGGAACCGCCUAUAAUUUGUUUAGCAUGGAAGAUAUUGGGAACUCUUAGUCAUUUUCGUUGACAUGAAAAGCAUACCACCCAAAAUAUUUUAUCUCUAUUUUUUCUGCUUUGAGGUCUAGCACAACUAUGAAUCUCUUCUUCCCUCUACGAAGGGCCUAUCUAUUUACUUUAUGCUAUUUUUUUGUUUGAAUUUGAGUCUCCAACUUCUCUUAUAAAGCACCAACUCAGGAACACUAUUAUCAUACUUGAGCAUUGGAUGUAGCUAAUAUUUGGGUGUGUUGCAUGAAUGGAUCAAUGAUGGAGCAUGAUGGGCUAGGGAUAGCAUUCUUUAGCAUUGAUAUUUUGAAAGACUUGGUUGCUUGUUUAUAUGGUUGAGUAUGGAAGUUUUCAUAUCAAAUUAUAGACUUUUUUUUGAAGGAAAACUGUAAGGGAAACCCCCCACAACGAGUUUUUUUUGAAAUAAUAAGAACCUAAAUUCGCGCCCGUGGGGACUUGAACUUGGGUGGCUGGGUUGUACAACCACUCCACUAGCCAAGUGAGCUAGGCUCACUUCCUCAAAUUAUAGACUAUUGCUUUGCAUCAUCUACAAGUCCAUAUUUUGAAAGAAUGUGAUGAAUAUGUUAGGCAACAUUCCACAUCGAAAGUUCUGUUUUCAUCAUUUACCUACUCGAGGACGAGCAGGAAAUAAGCUUGGGGAUGCUGAUACGUCUGCAACGCAUCUAUUAUUUUUGAUUGUUCCAUGUUGUUAUAUUAUCAUUCUUGGAUAUUUUAUAAUCAUUUUGUAGCAACUUUAUAUCAUUUUUUUGGACUAACCCAUUGUCUAGUGCCCAGUGCCAGUUGCUGUUUUUGCUUGUUUUUUCCUUCACAAAAAAUCAAUACGAGAUGAAAUCCAAAUGCCACAAAACUUUUUGGAGAUUUUUUUGAACCAGAAGGAAACUUGAGGACCAAGGAUGCCAACUAGGGGAGCGGCGAUGGUUCCCCGAGUGGCACUCCCCCACCACCAAGAGAGAGAGAGAGGUUCUCCCCCUUGUGCUUCCUCCUGCAUGGCCCCCGUGAGUGGGGAGAGGUUCUCUGUGACACCCUGGUAGUUAAGCAACAGUGAUCCCAUGCUAAUGAUGCCAUGUCGUCAUGUUUUAUUAAGCCAAAAUGCCACUUGAUAACAAUCAAAGACAAAAUAAAAUUAAAAUUUAAAAUAAGGUGAACUAAAUUAUUUCUUCAAACAUAAAAACAAAAAUGUUUCUUAUAUUGCGAUUAAUCCAUAGUUAAUUUUAAUGGAGAAACCAACAUUUUAUAAUAUGUGUAAAUGCCCCAAGUUAAAUAAAACAAAUGCCAAACAAUAAUUUGAAUGCCCUUUUUAAAUCCUACAAAUUUCCAAACCAAUUUAAAUAAAUGUCAAACUUUUUGUGGCAGUGUCUAAAAAUUGUAAUAUACAUAAUGGACCCAGUGCCAUAUGUUUUUACAAAAAAUUGUUGUUACAAAAGUAGUUAGAACUGAAACAGAUAAAAGAAAAAGCAAAAUGAAUAGAAAACAAAACUAAAACAGAAAAAUAGAAAGAACCACCCCCACUGGCCCAGCCCAGCGGGCCACUAGGCCGGCCCGACCAGCCCAGUCGGCCCCAGACCCUUCCUCCCCUCUCGCUACAAGGGGCCACUCCCACCGACACCCCUGUCGCCCCAAGCCCCCACCUCUCUCCCCCCUGCUCCUGAUCUAGAUCGUAUCGGGGCCUCUCCCUCCACUCCGGCGACACGGCCCUUCGCCGGCCCCUAGUUGGCCCCCGCCGGCCAUCACCUCACGAGAAAUCGCCGUCGCCCCCCUCGCCAGCCUCCUCACCCCGAACCGGGCCCUCCCCCGGCGGCUGCCCACCCCACCUCGACCGAACUCGACCCUGCACCGUCCGGCAUCCUCGCUGGGCCACCACGACGCCGGCGUGCCCGGACGCCUUCCCCGCUGGCCACCUCUCCCCUUGUGACACCCUCGGUUUAAUCGUACGCUAAUCAUACACGCAAAUGCGUACGAUCAAACCCAAGGACUCACGGGAAGAUAUCACAACACAACACUAGACACAAAUAAAACAAUAUCAACUUCAUAUUACAAGCCAGGGGCCGCGAGGGCUAGAAUACGGAAGCUCGAUAAACACACGAGUCAGUGGAAGCAACAAUAUUUGAGUACAGACAUAAAACAUGGGGUGCCUUAGAUAAGGCUCGCACAAAAGAUAUAAUGAUCGAACGAGGCGAGGCCUCAUGUCUGGGAACCUCUAAACUACUCCUGAUCAUCAGCGGCCUCCACGUAGUAGUAGGCACCGUCAGGGUAGCAGUCGUCGUCGGCGGGGACCUCCAUCUCCUGGACUCCAUCAUUUGGUCACCGCACGGAUCCAAGGGGGCAAAGGGGGAGCAAAGCAGCGGUGAGUACUCAUCCAAAGUACUCGCAAGUCUUACAUCAGAAUUAUUCUAAGUAUGCAUCAGUAUGAAAGAAGGGGGGAGUUUAUAUGUGGACUGAAUGCAGGAAUGCGAGAAUAGAGAGUGAAGGCCUAGUCCUAUCGACGACUAGCAUCUUCAGGGUCUUGCAGCAAUAGACGAGAGUAGAACAUGGGGGUAACACAAAUAAUAGUCAUAUUGUUGCAGCAAUACUAAAGUGAGGUCACACCCAGAGAUCCUCCCUCGACUCCCUCCAAGGAAGCAAUCCCGAGGCAACUACUUCCAGUUAAUUAUAGUUGCCUCGGGAUUGUAGUUGUAUAAGACCCCGAGGCAACUACUUCCAUUUAAUCCCGAGGCAAUUGUAGUUGUAUAAGAUCAGGGCACAACUCCAAGUCGUCCUGUAACCGUGGACACGGCUAUUCGAAUAGUUAAUUUUCAUCCCUGCAGGGGUGCACCAGAUGUCCCGACGCGCUCGAUAACACUCUAGCCGGACAUACUUUUCUGGGUCCUGCCCGUCCUCGGAAUAUCGACACGUCGCAGCCCCACCUAAGACUAAUCAGAGAGGCCAGCCCGCCGGUGUAAAUCCUAAGCGCAAAGGGUUCAUGGGCCUAGUUCCCCUCCGUGCUCCUGCACGAUGCGAGGGCGGCUCACAUCAGUCCUAGCAUCCCUUAAUCACAAGCGUGAUGCAUCUCGGGACCACUCGGGCACGCGCCACUAUGUUGCUGACGUCUGAAAAGCUUUGGCUGAUACCGUGGCGCUGAGUACCCAUAAUUCUUCCCAUGCAGACGGUUAGUGCGAAAAGGUCUCCGACCAACCCAGUUCAAAUACCCAAAUACAUUAACAUUUUAAUUAGGCCAUCGACAAAAUCUCGCGGGAAUCCACCCAUCUUACAAACUAAUCACCAAUGAUCCCAGUAACAUGGUCGAGUAACUGUGUGGUUGUAACAUCGGGGGGAAUCCGAGUUAUCACCCUCGUUGGAUUCUGAACGAUGUAUCCGUCAAGGUGGGCUUAGAGGAAUCACCCUCGGGGGUCCCACACUUGAGGGGUUGCAUGACAGCGGCAUCAUCGGGAAUGGUGAAAGAGGAAUCACCCUCGAUAACCACGACCGACUAGCUAUACUACAGAGGUAUCAUUAGGAGUACGUAGCGAGGUGUCAACCUCGGUACCCGAUAUUAUCUCUGUAGAGUCGUACAACUAAGGGGGGUGUAUGUGCUGUGUCGGGUCUGGCUCGUCGAUUAGGGAUCGAGAUUUGAAAACAAGUGGGGCAACUGGACUACGGGGUCAGAGGGGAUGACUGCUCCACCUAUACUAAGCAGAUUUAAAGUACAGUGCUGAAAGUAGCAGUUCAUCAAAAAUGGGCUAUGCAUCACAUAUAGGAGCUAACUACAACAGUAGCAAAAUACUAAUGCAAGCAGUAGGAAGAAAGACAUAGGCGAUAUAGGAAUGAUCGGGGGGGGGGGUUUGCUUGCCUUGCUGCUCUGCGGCAAAGGACUGAUCGGCAGGGUCGUAGAUGUACCCGGCAGCAGCGUUAGUCUCGGGGUCUACCGGUAAGAAGAGGGGGAAGAAACAAUAAAUAAUAGCAACGGUGCAACACAAUGCAUGACAUGGCAAGAUGCAGGCUGGACAUGAGCUAACGCAGCAACAUCCGUCAUAGACGGGUCGGAAGAAUAUCUGACGAUAUUUUCCGGGUCUCGGGCUACUACCGGUCAAACUGGAAACGAUGGAAAUGUUCCAUGUUUGCUAUGCUAGAGACGCGUGACAGACGAAUGGACCGUGUAUCCGGGUUCGUCUCGUUCUGUUGAUCAACUUUCAUGUUGAAAAUAUUUUGAUCUGACUUACGGAUUAUUUUAUAUUAAUUUUUGAAUUUUUAUUCAAAUAAUUAGUAAUUAAAAACAGGUUUCAAUAAUUUAAUUAAAAGAAAAUUCGAUAUCAGCAUGAUGUCAUGCUGACAUCAGCAGUUGACUGAUCAACUGACUAGUGGGUCUCGUGCGUCAUAGACACACCUUUUUAAUUAGGAUUAAAUAGUAAUUAAUCACAUUAAAUUAGUGGGGGGCCCACCUGUCAUACUCUAAUUAUUCUAAUUACCUAAUCAAUUAAUUAACUAACUAAUUAAUUAAUAUAUCAUUUUUAUAUUUUAAUUUUCACUUUUCUUAAAAGAGGUUGUGGGGCCUCCCUAUCAUGGACAGCGGGGUGAGUUGGCCCCACCGGUCAGUGGCUUUAGGCCACAUACCCAUAUUUACGCAAAUAAAACAUCACGUAUUUCUCCACAUACCUACAUACAUAAAUACAUACAUAUGUGCAUCUCAUACAUACAAAAUACGUACGACAUUUAUACAUACAUACAUACGCCAUACAUCAUUUAUUUUUAUUUCUUUUUUCUUAUCUCACAACUCCAACCUUUGUGUUAAGAGAGACUCUCAACCUCACAGAGAGAGAGGAACGUCUCCAACAUCGCCUACACGACCCUAACUUCGCCGGAUCGGAGCGCGGUUUGCCGGAACGGAACCGGGACGACGCGAGGAAAGAGAUGGUGGGAGGAGCCCGGAAAGGGGCUCAGCGACGUUGACGAGAGGGCCCGGUGAAGCCGUAGUUCUCGGGAGGCGGAGGAGACGGCGAGGAGGAGGACGAGGCGGUGACGGUGGUGACGUGGUUCCGGUGAGGAUGGUCGCCGGAGAGGCCUCCUGGAGGGGGCCGACCGGCGUGACAAGGAGGGGGGGCCUCCCUGCCCGAUCCCUCCUGGACCGAGCGGGAGGAAGGUUGGCGCGACGGGGAAAGGCUCGGCCGGCGGAAGGUUGCAGGGGAGGCCGGCGGCAGGGGCUCGGCCAGCGAGAUGGGGUGGUGUUCGGUGUGGAUCAGGGGGUCGGCCGGUGGGAUGGGAGGCCGACGGUGUGCAGGGGAGGGCCGGUCGACCCGGGGUUGGGGUUCACGGUGGGUUGGGGAUCUGGGCCAAUGGAGGGACCUGGGGGUCGGCCGAUGGGGAUCGGGAUGGGUGAGAGAGGCAGGCUCGUGAGGGAGAGGAGCCGAGGGAGAGGGCUCGGUCGUGGGGUUCCUCUCGUGGGGGAGACCGAGACGUUAGGUGGGGGGGCUGCGUCGAUGGGUGAGGCGAGCCGGGGUAGGUGGGGUUGGUGCGGGGGGCCGAUAGGCCGAGGGUGGUGCUGGCGGCGGCGAGGGAACGGGGGGGGGGGGGGGGGGGGGGGGGGGGGGGGGGGGGGGGGGGGGGGGGGGGGGGGGGGGGGGGGGGGGGGGGGGGGGGGGGGGGGGGGGGGGGGGGGGGGGGGGGGGGGGGGGGGGGGGGGGGGGGGGGGGGGGGGGGGGGGGGGGGGGGGGGGGGGGGGGGGGGGGGGGGGGGGGGGGGGGGGGGGGGGGGGGGGGGGGGGGGGGGGGGGGGGGGGGGGGGGGGGGGGGGGGGGGGGGGGGGGGGGGGGGGGGGGGGGGGGGGGGGGGGGGGGGGGGGGGGGGGGGGGGGGGGGGGGGGGGGGGGGGGGGGGGGGGGGGGGGGGGGGGGGGGGGGGGGGGGGGGGGGGGGGGGGGGGGGGGGGGGGGGGGGGGGGGGGGGGGGGGGGGGGGGGGGGGGGGGGGGGGGGGGGGGGGGGGGGGGGGGGGGGGGGGGGGGGGCGAUGGGAAUUAGGGUUUGGCCCUCCCUAGGGGGCUUUAUACCCGAGGGAUGGUGGGCCGAAUAGGGGGGGCUUGGUAGUCCCAAUUCGGCUAGGGGGGUUCUUUUCCUUUUUUUAUUUCUUAUUAUUAUUUAUUUUUACUAUUGUUUUUAUUAUUUAAUUUUAUUUACUUUCUUUUACAAUUUGGUAUAUAUAUUUUUAAUAAUUUAUUUNUGAUAUUAUAAUCCGCUAGGGAAUUUUUAUAACUCCCCGACGUUUUUAUUUCAACAAUAUAAAAUCUUUUCUCGUCCGACUUUAAUUUUAAGUUUCAAACUUUGAUUCGGUUUCAACCAACACGAGAUCAUUGAUAUAAUUAAUGAUGACGUGGCAUCAUUAGCGCGGGAUCACUGUCGCUUAAUUACAAUCAUCACUGUAGCAAAAGUUGAGGAUGUCACACCCCUUCACCACCGGAUCCUCCCCGAGCCUGUGCUCCAUCUACAACGCAAGUGAGCCUCGGGCUCCUCCCCCUCCACUCCCCUUCACCUCACUCCUACCAACACGGCCCCGUCCAUCGCUCGCCGUCGACAACGACCCCAUGCAGCGCGGCCCUGCAGCACCUCCGGCGGCUGCGCGCCCUCCUACACACGCACGCCGACCCCCUCCCCCCGGCCACCGCGCUUGCCUCCCAGAUCACACGCGCCCGCCCGCCCAUGCCUAGCUCCGUAUGGCGCUCUCCUAGCCAUCGCUAUCACCUUCGGCUACCGCUGGCGACGGUCGGCCUAGCCUCGGCCAUUACCCGGCUCCCUCCCAUGGCCGAUUUGGUUAGUGGGGGCUAACCACCCCACUAACCCCCUGACCCUAUGACAACAGGGCCCACGCCCCUGUAAAACGUUUAUAAAUAAAAAUAGAGUUAAUUAAUAGUAGUUGAGAUUAAUUAGUUUAACUAAUCUAUUGUUAACCUAUUAGACUAUGAUAUGUGGGCCCUUUAAAUUAAUACUAUUUAAAUCUGAUUAAAUAAAUCUACUAAUUAUUUUAAAUAAUGUGUGAAUGACAGGUGGGUCCCCCCUUAGAAUUAAUCUGAUUAAUUAUUAAUUAACUAAAUUUUAAAUGUGUCCAUUCCGUAUGGGACCACUGGUUAGUUUGACCAUUCAGUAGGGUUCUUGACUCAUGAUAUCAUGCUGACAUCAUGCUGAUGUCAUAUAUAAUUAUUGAAUUUAAGUAAUCUGUUGAAUUCCUAAAUAAUUAAUAAAAUUUUAAAAAUAUAAUCCAUAAUUCGGAUGACAAUAAUUUAUACAUGAAAGUUGAUUGGAAAAACGAGACGAACCCGGAUACGCUAUGUGUUGGUCUCAGACGCGUCCCUAUCAUAGCGAACAUGGAACUUUUCCAUCCGUUUCACCGGAUACCUAUCCGGUAGUAGCCAAAGACCUGAGAAAUAUCAUCUGAUAUUUUCCCGAUCCGUCUAUGACGGAUGAUACUACGUUAGCUCAUGCCUAGCACUACAUGUUGCCAUUUAUUGGAUCAUGUUGCACCUCUUGCUGUUAUUUAUUGUUUCUUCCCCCUCUUCUUUCCGGUAGACCCCAUCAGUGACGCUGCUGCCGGGUACGACUACCCACUUCACGACCAACCCUUUGCCGCAGAGCAACAAGGCAAGAAAACCCCCUUGAUCAUUCCUAUAUCGCCCUUUUCUUUCUCCCUCAUGUUUGUAUUAGAUUUUGCUACUGUUGUAGUUAGCUCCUAUAUCUGAUGCAUAGCCUAUUUUUGAUGAACUGCUACUUUCCAGUACCGCACUUUAAACUGCUUAGUAUAGGUGACUCAGUCAUCCCCUUUGACCCCUUGGUCCAGUUGCCCCGCUUUACCAGCAAGUCUUGAUCUUUUGAUCGACGAGCCAAGAACCGUCACAUCACUCACAUACCCCUUAGUUGUAUGACACUGCAGAGCUACCAUCGAGUACUGAGGGUGACACCUCCUUACGUACUUCGAUGUUUUUGUUGUAGUGCCGUUGACCGGCGAUGGUUUCCGGAGGGUGACUCCUCCUUCACCACCUCCAAUAACAACUAUAUCGUACAACCCAUCAAGCUGGCCAAGCGAGGAUGAUUCCUCCGUGGCCACCUUGAUGAUUACAUCAUUUGGAAUCCGUCGAGGGUGAUACCUCGAAACUUUCUGAUGUUAUAGCCGCAUAGUUACUUGGCCUUGAUUACUGAGGAAAUGAUGAGGUGUGUUGCGGGUGGAUUCCCGUGUGAAUGUGACGAGGCAUGGCCGGGCAUUCUGGGCCCUUGCCAUACAUCCUUGAGACGGGGCGACGGGCCCAUCUUAUCAUGGUUCUGCUUGUCACCGCAAUUAAUUAAAAUUCUAAGGAUUUGGGUACUUGAUCUGGGUUGGCCGAAGACCUUUUUGCACUAACCGUCUACAUGGGAGGAGUUAUGGGUUCUCGACAUCGUGGUAUCAGCCGAAGCUCUUCACAUGCCAUCAAUGGAGCGGCGCACACCCGAGUGAUUUGAAUAAGCAUCAUUCUUGUAUAAGAGGUGCGAGGACUGACAUCGGCCGCCAACGCAACGUGCAAGAACGCAAAGGGUGAUGGUCCCAUGAACCCUGCACUCUUAGGAGUUAGACCGGUGGGCUGGCCUCUCUGUUGAUCCUAGGUAGGACUGUGACAUGUUGAUUUGCCGAGGCCGAGCAUGACCUAGGAAAGUAUGUCCGUCCAGAGUUUAUCAAGCGUGAUGGGAAACUUGGUGCACCUCUGCAGGGAAGAAUUUAACUAUUCGAAUAGCCGUGUCCACGGUUACAGGACGACUUGGAGUUUUGCCCCGAUCUUAUACAACUACAACUGUUACUUAACUGGAAUGUUUGCUCUGGGAUUGCUUCCUCGCAGGGAUUCGAGGGAGGAUCUACGGGCAUGACUUCAAUUAAUAUUGCGGCAACGAUAUGACUAUUAAUUGUUGCAAGACCCCUGAAGAUGCUAGUCUUCGAUAGGACUAGGCCUUCUCUCUCUAUUCUCGCAUUCCUGAAGUCAGUCCACAUAACCCCUUCCUUUGAUACUGAUGCAUAUCUUAGCAUAUGUCAUCGUUUUCUUACAACAGUAGCAUCUUCAGGGGUCCGGUAACGGGAUUGGCAACUAGCGAGCAAGACGCACGAUGUACCCAGGUUCAGGGCCCUAUGUGGGAGGUAAAACCCUUAGUCCUGUCGGAAUGGUUGAAGAACCAGUAGUGUUUACAGAGUGUUCCUGGAGCUGUUUCACGGAGGAGGAAGAAGGAGAAAUCGGCUCAUGUUCUACCUCUCCUGUAUGGGUGUGUGUCUUUCAUAGAAUGGCCGACCCUCUGCAUGGAGGGGUACCGGGGGGUUUUAUAGAUGAACCCCCAGCCUACAAAAUGGAUAAAAGAUACUAAAGGGGGACCCAGCUGGCAGCCUCUUCGGCUAGUGAGUGGGUCCAGCAUCGAGCGGUCUUGUCUUCAGUUGGGCCCGCCGGCUGCAAGGUCCCAUCAAGCUAUGGGGCCUACCGACAGGCCAAUGCGAGGGGCGCGUGUUCUUCACGUGCGUGAUCGAAGGUACGUCGGUCGUCGUCUUGUAGGAUCAAGCAUCGGUCAGCGGUACGACCGCUUCCCCUGUAGCCACGCCUCGCCACGUAAUGGAGUGGAUGGAGACGACAAUACACUAUGCGGGGUUGAUAGGUCGGAGCCGUCUCCAGUCAGAGGUAUGUCUACCGCCACUGUAGCCACACGUAUCCUUUGCCAUCAUAUUUGUAUUGUAGUUCCUUUAUCUUCAAGAAAAGGCUUCUUUCGUGGCCAAGGGGUCGAACCGAUAGUAGCUUCCUAGCUGGCUGGAUGCUAGCCAGACGGCCUUGGGGUAAAUAGCCGCAUCCCUAGCCGACACGGUUCGCGUAUCCGGCCAGGUUGUAGCCGGCCGCGCCCCUAGCCGGCCUGGGUGUAGACGGCAGUGCCCCUAGCUGGUACGGGUUGUGUAGCCAGCCUGGGUGUAGACGGUAGUGCCCCUAGCCGGUACAGGUUGCGUAGCCAGCCAGGGAAUGUCAGUACAUGGGAAUGCAUUUUCCCAAGUUGUGCUGAAAGGCCAUGGAGUAGGAUCGAUGAGACUACCCCAGGGUUAUCCCCCCGUCAGUAGUCCCUGAAGCAGGGGAGGCCCGCCGUCUUAGGGCAAAGGGCCUCGUCGGCUUGGAGUUUGCUCCUCCGGGCCGUCGGAGCCAGUGACCGGCAAAGCCUUAGGUUGAAGGCGGCCGGGAGAGCGGUCAGCUGGCUUCCGCGAGAUUUCUCAGCUUCUCCAUUUUAAUGCGGCGGCAUGCCACGCGUCGGGUGUCAGGGGCCGCGCCUUGAUAGGCCACGCGCUGAUAGGACUGGGCCUGCAGCGAGGGGGGGACCCGCCAUGCCGCAGCCUUGACCUUCGUGUGGGGAUCUUCUAUGGAAAAUAAGGCGACGGUUGGUGUCUUGCUGUGUCUUAACUUCUCUGCAUGGUGCGGGGGGAAUGGAGAUCGUGCUCACCAGAUCUCCUUCCCCGUUACUUCGUCUUGAGUUUAAAGGGGCAGGCGGAAGGGAUGAAGCAGCCAUUCGUGCCCCUACUCCUCAUCUUCGCGACACCCUUCCCUUCCCGCUCAAGGAGAGAGAGAGUGAGAAAAGCGACUGGUUGGAAGCUCGCCGUCGCUCGCCGCCGGCGCCCUCAGUAUCUGCGUCGUCUUCCUCCGCAGUCUCGACAUGUCUUGGGCCGCCCCCAAGAGGAAGGGACACCGCGAUUCUUGUGAGGGCUGCAUCGUGGUGGAGGAUCAUGUUGAAAACCUCCGCCGCCGCCGCAUGCUGCCCCUGGUGGAGCUCGUCGCUGUGUGCAUACAGGAGAGGGAGGGCUCUCUGGCACCGAAGUCCGGCAAGGUGGUAGUGUUCCUAGAACACUUCUUCCGCCAUUUCGGGUUGCCGCCGAGCAAUUUCUUCAACUAUUUCUUGGUUCACUAUGGCCUGCAGCCGCAUCACCUCAUGGCGAACGAUGUGCUGCAGCUGGCAGCAUACGUCAUCCUGUGCGAGGGGUUUUUGGGGAUAGAGCCGUGCCUGGACCUGUGGCGGCAGUGCUUCUACUUCAAGCAGUAAUCUUCCUCGAACGGGACCCCCAAGGGCAAGAAUAUGUCUGACUGCGGCGGGGCCUUAUUUCACCACCGGGGUGCGUCCAGCUUCUUGAAGCUUCCUUAGCAGGACUCGGUGAAGAAGUGGCAGAAGGGCUUUUUCUACGUGAAGAACGUCGACCCCCGAAACGACUGCAUCAACCUGUCUCCCUUCAACAUCGAUCCGCCAACGACGAAGUUGAACUGGAAGAGUAACCUGCCGAAGGAGGCUGCCGAAGUGAAGCUCAUUUGCGCCCAACUCGAUCUUCUCAAGGUGGAGGGCCUUAAGGCCGUUGAUCUCUUGGCCACCAUGGAGGCACGUCGGAUCCUGCCUCUCCAACACCGGACACAUCUAAUAUGUCAGAUGAGUGGCCGGCAUGACCCAUGUCAGCUCUCCACGAAGGAGGUUCGAGACGGCAAGGUGGCAGAGCGGGUGAAGCUGAUCUCCACCGCCUCCAUGGACAUGAACGACAAUUGGCGCUAGGGCAUGGCUCCCUAUGACGGCAGCAUCCGGCCCUAGUGGUAAGUCCUGCCCUGUUUGCAUUUUUCCUUUCGCUUUGGCGUGCAUCCCAACUUCUAACACCGCAUGUCGGUUGCCCGCCAGUUGUUUGACCGCCUGCAGGUCUACCACCAGCCGGCAGCCGAGGCGUCGAACCCCGAGGAGAUCGAGGACUACGGCGACGUGAAGCCGUAGCCGGCCGACUCCCAGGAGGUCGAAGAGGUGGCAGGGUCGGAGGAGACCGAGCCGGCCUGUAAGUUUCUUGCGUCUUCAAUUCGUAGUUGAACCGACGACGACGGAGGGUCAUCUCUGUCGGUGAAUACUCACAACAUAUGCCAAAGGUAGGCUAAAGUCAGUGAGAACCGAAGUGACUACAGAGGGCGUUGGGGCGAGGUUGGUACAAGCAUGGAACGCACGAUGUACCCAGGUUCAGGGCUCUCCGUAGAGAUAAUACCCCUAGUCCAGCCGGACUGUAUGAUGUAUAUGGAUGGAUUACAAGGUUGCUCCUGGAGUUGUGUUGCGGAGGAGGAAGAGGGGAGCAGCCGGCUCGUCUCUGCCUCUCCUAUGUGGUUGGUGAGUGUGUGUGUAAUCUGUUGACCGACCCUCUGCAUGGAGGGGGGGGGGGUUAUAGGCGAACCCACCAGCCUAGAAUAUGGAUAAAGGGUACAAGAGUGGGACCCGGUUGGCAGCCUCACCGGCUGGCCACGGGGCCCCCGAGGGUCUUGUCUUGUCGCUUGAGGGGCCCACCGGCUGCGAGGUCCUGUCUGGCGGUGGGACCCGCCGUCUAGCAAAUGGAGAUCUCGUGUAAGGUUGACGGAGGGCACGCGCAGUACGUCCGACGUCGUCCAGCGAGAUUUGUCAUGGGCAGACGGUACGGCCGCCUCCACUGUUCCCACGCCGAGUGUAGUAAUGGAGUGGGAGAUUGACGGCCGACACUAUGCUGGGUGAUGGAUCAGAGCCGGGGUAGGUCAGCAGCGUGGCCGCCGACGCUAGUACGUGCCGUGCACUCCAAUCUAGUACCUUUGCUGACGCAUAGCCACCUUUAACCGUAGGGUCUCGUCAUGACCUACGGUCUUAUGUGACUUGAGAUCCCCGAGCUGGCUUAGGGAUGGCCACCUCGUUCCUAGCCAGCUGGCUCGGCCUAGGUGGUCAAGAAGAGGUAGCCGUCUUGCCCCCAGCCGGCAGGUGUUGCCUAGCCGGCCAGAUAGUUGGUCGUCUCGUCCUCCAACCGGUAGGUUCAGCCUAGCCGACCAGAGGACUUGGGCUCGGAGAAUUAUACUUGGUCAUUCCUUUUGGGCAGGAGAUGAAGGAACGGGCUCGAUGAGCCUACCCCGGGGUUAUCCCCCCGACAGUAGUCCCCGAAGCUGGAGAGGCCCGCCGCCUGCGGACGGAUGGCCUCACCAUCUUUAUUUUUGUCUUUGUAUUCCUGCCGCUACGUGCGGUAGGGAACGCCGGCCCCGAAGCCGGGUGGCUUCGAAGCGAUGCCACGACUUCGUCGCAGGCUGCGCAGAACGCGCCAAGUGUGAGGCCCGGCCUGACAUAAUGAUGGUUAUUACUGUUGACGGGACCGGGCUCCGGCUGGAAGAUCCUCUGCGGAUUUACUUCGCGACGGUUGGGUUUCGGGAAGCGAUACCGCGCGUAAUACACAGGGUUAGUGGGGCUCCGCGUGCACCGGAUCCCCUCCCCAUGACGCUUCGUGGGGUUUAAAUGGGACGCACGGGUCCCGAGGAGGCCACUCACCCCCUUCUCGGCCCGCAUCGAUGCCCUCUUCCUCCCUCAGCCCAGAGAGAAAGUGCCCGUCCAUCUUUGCCUUCUUCUUCUCCGUCGCUGUUGCGCCACCAGCCUUCCUGAGCAUUCGCCGCCCGCAAUCAUGGCCGGCGGCUCCUCCUCGAAGAAGUCCUCGUCGCAGGGAACCUGGCUUGGUAGUGAGAUCUGCGAAGGCCACAUCGAGGCGCUCCGCCAUCGCCGGAUGUUGCCCCCGGCCUCCCAGGUGUUGGCGCGGAUCCCUAGAACCGAGACAGACCCAACACCGGUAGAGGGAGAGAUCGUCGUUUUCAACGAGCACUUCUACAGGGGCUUUGGGCUCCCGGUGAGCCCCUUCUUCUCUGAAUGGCUCCACUUCUUCGGCCUACAGCCGCACCACCUGGCACCGAACGCCAUCUUGCAGCUGUCGGCAUUCGUAGCCUUGUUCGAGGGCUUCCUGGGGAUAGAGCCCCGCCUCGACCUCUAGCGAAGCUUGAUUUUCUUCAAGCAGCAGUCCAUUGUAAUGGACAAGGCCGAGCUAGAGAAGCUCGCCGGGCCGAGCCCGAUGACGCCGUGCGGAGCCGCACUGGUGCAUCAUCGUUCGAAGUCUGGCUUCCCCCAGAUGCCGUUGCCAGAGUCCAUCGAGCAGUGGCAGAAGGGUUUCUUCUACGUGAAGAAUGCCGACCCUGCUCACGAUGCCCUCAACUUGCCCCCGUUCAACAUUAACCCUCCGACGAAGUUGAACUCGGGGGCGAAGUUCCCGAAGCCGAUUCCCGAGGUGGCGCAGAUUGGCGCCCACCUGAACAUCUUGCAGGAUCGCGACCUCCUUGGCCGCGACCUGCUUACCACCAUGGUCACCCACAAGAUUCUGCCGCUGCACAGGCGGCCUCACCUGGUCUGCCAGAUGAGUGGCCGGCACGACCCCUACCGGACCUCCACCAAGAGAUUCACCCCCAGCGCGGUGGCGCGGGGGGUGAACCAGAUUUCCACCGCCCAUAUGGACGAUAGUGGAAACUGGUCGUGGGGGAUGACCCCAUACUGCAGGUCCCGUCCGCCUCCGGUGGUAAGUAUUCUUCGUUGUUCUGUUCUUGUUGUUUGUCUCACGACCGACCGUCUCGCUGAGCCGGCCGUCAACUCCUUCGCGCAGGUAUUCGAGAAGCUGCAGGCAGCACUCAACCCGCCUGCCCGUGACGUGGUGACGUGUGAUGCCUCGGAGAUCGAGGACGAGGGCAUGAUCGAGUCCCGCUCUGCCUCCUCCAAAGGCUCAGAGAAUGUGCUGGAGUCGGAAGGGACGAAGCCGUCUGGUGAGCAUCUGCGGCCCUCCAUCAUAGAUUGUACGGACGAUAAAGAGUCUCCCUCCUCCCUAUCUGAUGCAGCAUUCGAGGAAGACUCCGACGGGGUGGAGGAGGUCACUAUCCCGCCUCUGACGCACGGAUGGCAUCAUAGGGCCGAGGAGGCCGGACCUGACGAGGCGGCCAGGAAGAAGGGCAAGGGUGCCACAGCUUCCAGGCCUGCUCCUAAGAGCCCGACAACGGGUCCUCUCACCGUAGUACGGGCAGGCGGCACUAAGAAGCGCCAUUCUGGUGGCGGCAGGAGGCAGGUGCCCAUCGUCGCAGGGUAAGGGUUCCCCUCCCUUCUUUUUAUUUUGUCUUGUGUGAAGCUUCGUUCCUCAAAAACGUCGCCCCAUAGGGAGGCGGAAGACGUGGAGGAAGACGUCGCCUCCGCAGCCAAACGAGCCGGCUGGACAGCGGCUGACGCUGCCCAGAAGGAGCUCGAGGAGCAGUCCAGCCGCUGGUGGGAUGCGACCGCGGGGAAGACGGCCGAGGGCCAGUCUCGCCUCAGCCAGGCCGAGAAGCCGGCGGAGAAGCGUAUGAAGUCUAGACAUGACCCCUCCACGCAUGCUCGCGUGGAGGAGCCAGCUAGCGAGGCAAUGCCGAGGCAUGCCCCGAGGACCGAGGAGGCCCGGCCCUCCGAGCCGGAUGCCUCUGCGCCGGUGGAUCUGGAGGUGAUCCCUGAUUCACGUGGGGCCGAGGCGGCGCCCCACGCGGCGCCCGACGCGCCGGAACUGAUACUGGACGCGCCAGACAUGGCCCCGGGUGCGCCGGGGAUGAACAUGGAUGUGCCGGACGCGUCCCAUCCACCUCCUGCCGAGGAGGCGACGCCGGCUGGGGUGUCGGCGGAGCCGGCCGCCAUGCCACCACGUGGAGACGGCACCAUCGUUGUCUCCAACCGCGGUCCGGCUGCUCCAGGAGCCGGUCCCAGAGUCGGGAGCCGACUCAUGAAGGCCUGGCGAGCGGCUAACCUGGAGCCCUCGAAGCUGCCCGCAGGCACCGUGCUCCACGGCGUCCCGGAGCUGGUGUCGAUGUUUGCCAGCAGCCGGUUCAAGGUGGACCAGGCGGCCCGCAUGGUGAUCUGGAGCGCUUGGAGGAGCGCACCAGGGUAAGUGCCUCGCGUCUGUCUUUAAUUUUUUCUUUUCUUGAAUCAGUGGGGGCGCACCAGUGCACCCACUGGGUGUAGCCCCCGAGAGUCGGGCCGGCCGAGCAUCGGCUGAGCCGAAUCUCUUUGAGCUUCUUUUCUUGCUUUGCUUCUUUAGUGGGGGCGCGCUAGCGCACCCACUGGGUGUAGCCCCCAAGAAUCGGGCUGGUUAUGACUUAACCAGGCCGAAUCUUACUUCUGCUUUUUCUUGUUUUGUAGGAUCUCUAUGACGCCUAGCUGCAAGCCUACAACAUGCUGCGGGCUCAAAACCAGGCGGCUGAUGGCCACGUUGCCGAGCUUCAAGCCCGGCUUGGCGAGGCUGUCGUGGAGCGGGACGACCCGCGCGAUGUGGACGGCCGGCUUGAGGAGAAGCUGGCUCUUCUCCAGACGGAGAAGAAGGAGCUCGAGGCGGCUAGCCGUGCCCAGUUGGAGCAGCUGCACGCCUCUCCGCAGGAGAAGGACGCCUCCCAUACUGCCGACGUGGAGCGUCUUGAGACGCUUCAUUUCGGGGAGAUGAAGCUCAAGGAUGCUGCCUUGAAGGAGAAGGAGGACACCAUGAUCCAGAAGAAGACGCAGCUGGCCAAGGCUCUGGACGCGGCGGCGGCCCUCCAGGACGAAGUCGCCCGCCUCACUCAAGCAAGCAAGGUGCGAGAGCUGGAGGCCAUGGAGAGCGCCCAUGAGACUGAUAGCAACUUCGACUGUGAGUCUUCUUUUGUUUUGUAUUGAACUUUCUUUUCCGUCUCCUCUUCUUACUCGUCUUUGUGCCCCCUCCCCUAUCUCAGGCCUCUUCCCUGAGACACGGGGCAUGGACGACACGGCCGUCGAGGUGAGUCGCGAGGAGCGCCGCGCGGCCGGGAAGGAGGUAGACGCUACCUCCGGCUGGAGCGUGGAGGAGAUCGGCAUGGGCCUCAGGGCCCGCGUGCGCGUCCUGGGCGAGUCCGUGCCUCGGCUCCAGAUCACAGGUUCGUCGAUGGUGGAAGCCCUUUGGCCUGAUGGCGUGGAGCCGGCGUCGAUGAGCCGGCUCUCCCGCUGGCUUGCAGCUCGCGAGGACCGUCUUGACGCCUGGCGCGCUUCGGCUGGGCGCGCUGGAGCCUACAUGGCACUGCGCUUGGCCAAGUCCUGGUACCGAAACCUGGACUUGGGCAAGCUCGUCGCUCAGCGCGACGACUCGGAGGUGGAGCUAAAGGCCGUGGAGGAGGAGCUGCGCGUGAGGGCCAUCGACAUCGCCUCGUAUGCCGCCUAGGAUGGGCUCAACUUGGAGCGGGGUGAAGGCGGCAAUUUGAUCCCUGAAGAUCUGCAUAGCCUUCAGCCCUAUGACGCCGAUGGAAGCUCCGCCGAGGCGGCCCAUGAUGUGGAGAAUGUUGCUGCCUCCAGCGGCGCGGCGUACGCCGACUCAGAUGCGGACGGAGCGGGAAGCCCUCGUAGAGGAGACGGCACCACCGCCUCGGGAGUAGCCGGCGAUGGUGAAGCCACCACUUCAGGAGCAGCAGUCGGGGCAACCGACGAGGCCGCAACCCCUUAGCCGAUCCUGUUUUUUCUUUUUGUUGUCUCAAAUUAUCUUGUCAGUCCAACAGUUCCACCCAUUGGGGGGUGUAAUGAACUUCGGCCAUGGGCCAACGCAUUUUGAAUGAAUGGAUUCAGCAUUAUAACCGUAUUGCCAUGCGUGUUGUUUUAUGUCUUUAUCUUUUGAUUCCUGUUUGACUUCUUUUUCUCCAACUCCUGUACCCCCCAAGUUUCCAAUCCGCCAGCCCGACAGCCGGGAGCCGGUCUGUGAAAGGGUCGAGGUUUCUGACUUCGAGAAUAUAAGACUUAGAUUUUUCGAAGCUAUCAAGACUUAAAGAUUCAGACAUAAACCAACAGAGGCCGGCUAGAAUGAGAUCGUAAAAUAGAUCAAGCCAACCCGAGCCGGCAACCUUUUUGUAGUCAAACUUUACACGCAUCCGGCCUUACCUGGCGUCGCCUCGUUAGCCGGAUAGCCGAGAGCCAGUCUGUAGCUGUUACGAGGUGACCAGGGAUCGGUCCGACGUAUGCUAUGUGUUUUUCUACAACAUAAGGAAGUUGUCCGGGCGGCUAGCGAGCCCCCGAGCUUAUUAGAGCCAGCAAGGGGCUUCACAGAGUGAGCACUCUAGAUAUGAACUUAAAAAGAAGCAUAUGUGCAUGCUCUUUUCAUUGCAUUCAUUAGAAAUCCCUGAAGAGGGAGAAAGAUACAUAUGUGCAUGCUCUUUCCAUGCUUGAUACUUGCCUUCUAGCAAUAGAACGGGCGAAGCAACGCCGUGUUCCAUGGACGUCCCGUCUCCUGGCCGGAGUCGUCCCUCUUGUGCUUCCUUGGUUUCUAGGCAUCGAUCGAAUAGUAUGCGUUGUUGUGUAAUGCCCUACUGAUGAUGAAGGGCCCCUCCCAUGGGGAUGAGAGCUUGUGCUGGCCGGCCCAGUCGACCAAGAAGUCGCCACCACCUGAUAUUUGAUGGCGGUGCGAGGCUCGUAGCGGAUAUCAUGGUCCGCCAUGGCGAUGGACCACUUGGCGAUCCUGCCAGUCGCAUCACAGUUGCCCAUGAUUUCUAAAAGCGGAGCAGUGCUCACCACAGUGAUAGCAUGCUCUUGGAAGUAUUGCUUCAACUUCUUUGCAGCAAGGUAAACACCAUAACACAUUUUUUGGUAGUGGGGAUAGUUCUGCUUGGAGGCAGACAAGACCUCGCUGAGGUAGUAGACAGGGCGCUGCACUAACAGUACCUUUCCCUCCUCCUUGCGUUGAACUACCAACACUACACUAACAAGGCGAGUGGUCGCUGCAAUGUAUAUGAGUAUGGGUUCCCUUUCAGCCGGCGCUGCCAAGAUUGGGAGACUCGAGAUGACCCGCUUGAGGUCACGGAAGGCUUCGUUCGCCUGGUCGUUCCACUCGAACUUCGUCUUCUUCUUCAUGAGCUGGUAGAGUGGAAGGGCCUUCUCACCGAGCCGGCUGACAAACCGGCUAAGGGACGCCAGGCAGCCGGCGAACUUCUGGACGUCUAGGAUCCGUGCCGGCCUCACCAUCCGCUCGAUGGUGCCUAUCUUCUCGGGGUUCGCCUCAAUGCCACGAGCGGACACAAAGAACCCCAAGAGCUUACCGCCUGGAACCCCAAAGAUACACUUCUCCGGGUUGAGCCAGAUCUUGUAUUCGCGCAGGUUGGCGAACGUCUCCCGCAAGUCGUCGAGGAGGCUGAAGUGUUGCUUCGUCUUGACGAUGAUGUCAUCCACAUAGACGUGGAUGUUUCUGCCGAUCUGUGGUAGUAGGCACUGCUGCAUGCAGCGUUGGAACGUUGCACCGGCGUUCUUCAGACCGAACGUCACGGUGGUGUAGCAAUAGGCCCCGAAGGGCAUGAUGAAGGAGAUCUUCAGGCGAUCAGCUGGAUCCAGCUUGAUUUGAUGGUAGCCUGAAUAAGCAUCCAGAAAUGACAGCAUUUCGCAGCCUGAAGUGGAGUCAUUCACUUGACCUAUCCUAGGCAACGCGAAAGGGUCUUUCGGACAGGCCUUAUUCAAGCUAGUGUAGUCGAUACCCAUUUUCCAGGUAUUGUUCUUCUUCAGCACCAGGACUAGAUUGGCCAACCAGUCCGGGUGGAAAACCUCCAUGAUGAAGCCGGCUGCAAGGAGCCGGGUAAUCUCUUCUCCAAUUGUGCGCCGCUUCCCCUCGGCGAAGCGGCGCAAAGGUUGUUUUACCGGCUUUGCAUCCGGUCGCACGUGAAGUUUGUUCUCGGCGUACUUCCUCGGAACACCCGACAUGUCUUUGGGGGACCAUGGAAAUAUGUCCCGAUUCUCACGGAGGAAGUCGACGAACUCGCCUUCCUAUUUGGGGCUGAGGCCAGCUCCGAUGGUGACGCACUGCUUGGUGUUUGCAGGGUCGAGUGGCACCUGCUUGGUCUCUUUGGCCGGCUUGAAGGAGCCUUCGCCGACCGACUGGGACGGAGGAGAAGGGAUCGCCGGCUGCUCGGUAGCCUGGGCCACGAGCCGGUCGAUAUGUCUCUUCUCCUGAGCAAUCACCAUGGCAUCGGCCAGACGGCUGCUGUCUUGUGCGUACUCGAGCGACUUCUUGUAGUCGCGAGCAAUGGUGAUGAUGCCCUUUGGACCCGGUAUCUUCAUCUUCACGUAAGCGUAGUGCGGGAUAGCCAUGAACCUGGCCAGAGCCGAUCUACCCAGCAGCGCGUGAUACGGGCUGCUGAGGUCCACUACCUCGAACCAUAUGGACUCGCGGCGGAAGUGAGCCUUGUCGCCGAAGAGGACGUCCAGCUGGAUUUUGCCGAUAGGCGAGCAGGACUACCUAGGCACGAUGCCGUGGAAGACAGUGCUGGUCGGCAGGACGUCCAUCUCCUUGAGCCCGAGCUUGCGAAGAGUGUCGAGGUAUAAGAUGUUGAUGCUGCUGCAGCCAUCGACCAACACCCGGGAGAACCUACACGUGAGCCUCUCGGAGGAGAAGGUGGGGUCGAGGACGAGCGCGAAUGAGCCCGGGUUGGGCAUCACCGCAGGAUGGUCUACCAGGCUCCAUGUGAUUGGUCUGUCGGACCAAUGCAUGUAUUGGGGAACCGGGGGGACCGUGGCAUUCACCUCACGCCGUCGCUGGCGCAGGCUAUGCUUGUCGUCGCCUUCGCUGGUGAAGACGAUGAAUGCUCCGUCUUGAUGGGGGUAGUCGUCGUGGAGGCGGCCGUCAUCACGAGGCGGCGGCGGUGGAGCUGGAGCAGGACCUGGAGUCGGGGCUUGACGCACAGCCUGUGCACCUCGGGCAGCCGGCAGACCCUCCCCUUGCGAUAGCCGUCGUGCAAAACUGAACUGUCGAAGGGUGUGGGUAGAAGGGUGUGCCCCAGAAUGUAUCUUGCAGGGGGCGUCAAGCAGCUGCUCGGAAGUCUGCUUGGGCAACCAGUUUGUAUUGCCCCUGUUGGGCCGCUUCCGUUGAGAGCCGGCUUGAGAAGCCGACACCUCAACCUCCAUGCUGGCCACCAACUUGUUGUUGGAGCGCCAAUCUAGCUGAUCCGCCUUGCGCUUGUUGUUUUACUGGCCGCCUCGACUGUCUCCAGCCGGCUUGGGACUACCCGACGUAGGGAUAGCCUUGUCCGAGGCGGUUAUCUUGACCCGCAUCGCGGAGUCGGUUGUGGCGUACUUGUCCGCCUUGGCCAUGAGCACCGCCAGACAGGUGGGGUCGGAGCACAUGAGCUUGUUCUUGAGGAGGGUGCCGUCUCGGCAACCGUCAAUGAAGUACUGGAUGGCCUAUACCUCAUGCACCCCCUCGCAGGAGUUGCGAAGCUCCGUCCAGCGAGUGACGUAGUCGCGAAGGGGUUUGUCGGGCCUGUGGACGCACAUGGCCAGCUUCCGCGGCCGGCCAGGGCGCUUGUAGGUACCAGUGAAGUUGCGGACGAACGCCUCCUCAGAAUCCACCCAUGAGUUGACGCUGCCGGCUGGAAGGCUGUUGAGCCAAGUCCGAGCCGAGCCGGCCAACAUGAGUGGCACGUAGCAUACUGCUACGCGCUUGUUUCCCCUGGCAAUGCCAACGGCGGUGGUGUAGUCGAUCAGCCAGUCCUCUGGCUUGGCGGUGUCGUUGUACUUGGGAGUGUCCCGACGCAAGGUGAAGCCUCGGGGAAACGUCUCCCCUCGGAUUCGGUGGCCGAAGUAGGCCGGACCGAUGGGGCCGUCCUCCUCUAGGAGGGCUGACUGGGCCUGGGCGUUGAGAUGCCUGCGGGCGUCCUGGUCACCCUGGGGAACGCGAGCGCCGAUCCUAGCUGCGAUCGGAAGUGCAGCUUGCGAACCGGUGGCAUGGGUCCUCCCCGGACGAGGAACCUCAUACACCUAGUCGCUCUCGUCGCCUCCGCGACGCCUGCUUGAAGUAUGCUUGCUCUGGCGCUGGGAGCGCCUGUCCUGACUUCCCUCGCCACUCCGGCCGGAGGUGCUAUGCGAGGAAGAUCCCUCCGCAUGGUGAUGACAGCUAGGUUUGCGGCGCGCUCAGAAGUUGGGUCCCGGAGACUCUAACUGGGCCUGUCCGGGGUCAAGCCGUGUCUACUGCUCGUUGGCGGCGUCAAGGAGGUCCUUGACCCGCUUCUCCUGGAAGGCGCGCUCCUCGCCCUCCAAGCUCGGCAUUUCUUCCAUGGCCGCCUUCGCCGCCCGCAAGUUGGCUGCAGGGGUCUCGUGGACGGGCUGCUUGCCGCCUAGAAUCUCGGCAAUGAACCGGCCACGGCAGCGGACCGACCCAAGCCGGCUAGGGGCAUCGGAAACCGGGGUGAGGCCGUAUGCGGAGUUAUAGUCGUGCCGCGUGGCCUCCAUCCGGCGCUUUGACGAGGCGACGACAAUGCCCUCCUCCAAGAUCUGCUUGCGAGCCUCCUCUAGCAAGGCUCGGGCGUCGUUAGGGUUCGUGGAGGCGGUGAUGGGCGUCUUCAGGCCGGCAAGCGCAUCCUGAAGAGUGUCAGCGGUGACACCAGCAGGCUCACCAGCGUCUUCUGACACCUUGCCAUGAGCCGUGCUGGUGCCAGCGCCGAUGACCAUCACCUCCACGAUGUUGGAGACGGUGGCGACAUGGUAUGGGGUGAAGAACCCCACCUACGGCGGAGGACCGUCGAAGACGAGUAUGUUGGUGGGGUACACGUCAUGUGCAGGCAUCCCAACGAUAGAGAGCCUAUUGAAGCUGGUGCACAACGCCUCGACAUCGAAGUCCUCGCCGAAGUAGAGAGGACCAUCGUUGAGACGCAGGUCACUAAAGAGAACGUUGAGGUUCUCCAUAGCAGCGACGACGACGCUAGGAGGAGCCUCGUCAUCGGAAUCUUCGUCCAAAUCCGCAUGGCGGACGGGGACGUCGAUCAUCAUCGGCGUUGCCUCAUCGAAGGCGGGCUCCACGGGCAUGCAGAUCGAUCUGGACGCGAUGCAUCCGGUGGUGUAGGUGCGGGGCCCCGCCCAUCGCGUAAAGCCAGCCGAUGCCGCGAUCGGCCCCACGGUGGGCGCCAAAUGUCGGUGAAUACUCACAACAUAUGCCAUAGGUAGGCUAAAGUCGGUGAGAACCAAAGUGACAACGGAGGGCGCUGGGGGCGAGGUUGCUACAAGCAUGGAACGCACGAUGUAGCCAGGUUCAGGGCUCCCCGUAGAGAUAAUACCCCUAGUCCUGCCGGAUUGUAUGAUGUAUAUGGAUGGAUUACAAGGUUGCUCCUGGAGCUGUGUUGUAGAGGAGGAAGAGGGGAGCAGCCGGCUUGUCUCUGCCUCUCCUAUGUGGUUGGUGAGUGUGUGUGUAAUCUGUUGACCCACUCUCUGCAUGGAGGGGGGCCGAGGGGUUUUAUAGGCGAACCCACCGGCCUACUAUAUGGAUAAAGGGUACAAAAGUGGGACCAGCUGGCAGCCUCACUAGCUGGCCAGGGGGCCCUCGAGGGUCUUGCCUUGUCGCUUGAGGGGCCCGCCGGCUGCGAGGUCCUGUAUGGCGGUGGGACCCGCCGGCUAGCCAAUGGAGAUCUCGCGUAAGGUUGACGCAGGGCACGCGCGGUACGUCCGACAUCGUCCAGCGAGAUUCGACAUGGGCAGAAGGUACGGUCGCCUCCACUAUUCCCAAGCCGAGUGCAGUAAUGGAGUGGGAGUUUGACGGCGAACACUAUGCUGGGUGAUGGAUCAGAGCCGGGAUAGGUCAGCGGCGUGGCCGCCGACGCUAGUACUUGCCGUGCACUCCGAUCCAGGACCUUUGCUGACGCGUAGACACCUUUAACUGUAGGGUCUCGUCAUGACCUACGAUCUGAUGUGACUUGGGAUCCCCGACCGGUUAGCCUGCUUGGCUAGCCGGCUUGGGGAUGGCCGCCUCGUUCCUUGUCGGCUGGCUCGGCCUAGUCGGUCAGGAAGAGGUAGCCGUCUUGCCCCCAGCCGGUAGGUGUUGCCUAGCCGGCCAGAGAGUUGGCUGUCUCGUCCUCCAUCCGAUAGGUGCAGCCUUGCCUGCCAGAGGACUUGUGCCUCGGAGAAUUAUACUUGGUCAUUCCUUUUGGGCAGGAGAUGAAGGAACAGGCUCGAUGCGCCUACCCCGGGGUUAUCCCCCCGACAAUCUCCAUCGCAUGAUGCAGUUGCCCUGGAUGACUUGGAGGAGCUGGAGGACAUCUGAUAACCCACAAGUGUAGGGGAUCGCAACAGUCUUCGCGGUUAAGUUAACCCAAUUUAUUGAUUCGAUAGAAGGGGACCCAAAGAAUAUUUAUAAGCUUUAGCGGUUGAGUUGACAAUUCAACCGCACCUGAAAGAUACUUGCUUGGCAACGAAAUAUUAGUAGCAACGGUGAUAUGGAAGUGAUGGUGGCAACGAAAGUAAAACAACGAAAGUAAAGUGACUUUUGACUAGCAGGAUUAAUACAUUGUAGGCUAAGGAGAUGGAUGGUUGGUCAUGGAUGAGAGAUAUCAUGUAUUUAACUUGUGGCAAGCCACAUAGAAAAGUAAUGAUCAUCUAGGCAUAUAUCAAACAUUAGGCAUGUAUCCCGAGGUAGUCGUACGUGCUUGCAAUAAGAACUUGCAUGACAUCUUUUGUCCUAUCAUCCCGCUAUCAACGGGGCCAAAAGAAACUUAUGGAGAUUAAGGUGCUCGUGUCAAAGAGCACCGGAACAAAUCAUUAACAAUCAGUGGAUACAUGAAAUUCUCAAACUAUAGCCUAUCCCCUUUGGUGUCCCAAGCUGCCACCAUUGGGAUCGCCGAUUCCGGACUAUAAUAGGUGCAUACUACUCAUAGAUAGGAUCUAGAACACAAAUAUAUUCAUGAAAACAUAAUGAAUUCAGAGCUGAAAUCAUGGCACUCAGGCCCAAAGUGACAAGCAUUAAGAGUAACAAGUAGUAGAAAAGAUGAUAAACACCAUACUAGAUGAUAGGCAACGUGCCCCCAACAAUCCAACGAACUAUUACAUGAUCUAACUCAUCCAAUCUCUCCCAUCCCGUUCACCUAUAGCAGGUAAUUACUCACACAUGAUGGGAGAAGCCAUGGAAGAAUGAUGGAGUGGUGAUGGUGAUGACGAUGGCGACGAUUUCCCCUCUCUCGAGGCCAAAACAGCCUCCAGAUUAGCUAUCCCGAAGAAGUACCGAGGGUGGUGGCGGCUCCACGUCGAGAACUUGCAAAAUGACUUCUCUUCUGGAAUUUCGUCGUCACGGGUAAAAAUAGGAGCCAAAGUAGGGCACUAGAGGGGGUGGGCCCCACCCAGGCGGCCUCCCGGUGCGGCCAGGGGGCAGGCCGCACCAGGAGGUUGCCUGGGGCCCUGUGGCUCCCCUCUAGCCCAUCAUCUCGCCCAUGGUCCCUCCCGGUGCGUGGAUUUUCUCUAUUUUUAUGGGAUUUUUCUAGGGCGUCUAAAUAUUCAUUUCGUGCACACAACAAAACCAUACAUGCAGCUCUCGUGAAAACAGCGUCAGUCCGGGUUAGUUUCAUUCAAAUCAUGUAAGAAUGAGGCCAAAACAAUAACAUAAGUGUUUGGAAAAGUCGAUAUGUUUGAGACGUAUCAACUGCCCCAAGCUUAGCAUAUUUCUUGUCAUCAAGCAAUUCAGUUUAACAAACAGAACGCGACAAAGAAAACUCUGACAAACUCUUUUGCUUGAUCAGAUGUAUAUAAGCAUGCACUACGAGCAUGCCAACAAGUAUUGCAGUAAUGCUACCAAAACAAUACACAAAGAAAUCAUGCAAUCAUGUGAAGAAUUUCAAACAACUAAGACAAAAUAAUAUGUAACUGAAAGUCAUAACGAGAUCACAAUGCACAUGACUUGGAUAUACUAGAGUGGUAUCUCAUUAGCCCCCAAGAGGGAAGCAAAACAUAAAUGCAGACGCUCCUUCGGAGUAUCAAAAGGAGACUAGAAAUAAAUAUUUCAGAACAAGCAAUAUCACUAUCAUGCAGAAGACAAUGUGGUGCUUUGGGACAAUGCACAUUACAGUGAGAAUGACAAUUAUGCUCUCUAUAGUUGGUGCUUUUUAUAAGAAGAGGACGACUCAACAGAAAAGUAAAAAGAUAGCUCGACAUAGAGGGAAGCGUUGAUUUGCAGAGGUGCCAGGGCAUGAGCUUUAAAACAGGGAUAAAUCAACAUUUUGAAUGGAAUGCUCAUUGUCAACGUAACAAAUAAAAGAUCUCAAUAUCUUUCAUGCUAAAUACAUUAAAGGUGGUUCCCAAACAGAAAAGUAAAGUUUUAACUCCCCCUCCACCAAUCGAUCACACUCCACGGCGGUCCGAAUCCAGGGGGACCGUCCAUUCAAACAACAAUCCUAGGGGAGUUUUGUUUCAUUAAAGUUGAUUUGAUUCUCAGCAUGGAACUGGGAAUCCCGGUUACCAGGGACUUUCUCGUGAAUGAUAGUGAAUCAACACAUAUCUUGAGAAUAACCUACUUAGCAUGGAAGAUACUGACAACCCCUAGUCACUACAUGAGCGAUUCAGGCAUACAAAACAGAAUAUUCAUUCUAAAAUUUAGAAUACGGCACAUGCAAAUAUACUUCGGACGGUACAUAAAUACCGCAUAUAGGUAGAUAUGGUGGACUCAUAUGGCGCAACUGGUUUUAUGGAUUUUGGGUGCACAAGCAGUCAGUCUUCUUAGUACAGGAGAAGGCUAGCAAAAGACGGGGAAGCGACCAACUAGAGAGCAAUAAUGGUCAUAAUCAUGUAGAGCGACAAAGCAACAUUGAAUCGGGCAUGAAAGCGAUAUAACUAUUCUGAAAUAAAAAGAUCGUCAAGGCUUGAUAGACUUUUAGUCAUAAACAUGUGUAAGCAUGUCCCAAGUCAAUCCAAAAACUCUCCAAAGGGAAAUACCACUCUAAUAUGCCAAACCAUGAACAAUUUGAUGCAUGCAAAUCAUUUCAAUAACACAUUAUGCACUCCAACUAUUUGAGAUGAGUCACAAAGAAGGCAUGAACUACUAGGAAAGCAUUGUAAUCGUAGUACUAUGUCGCUACAAGCUGGUCUCUAGAUCAUAACUACACGCAUAUGUACAAAAGUAGAAACAAGUAGAGUUCAUACCGACUUUCCUUGUUACAUUCCUUCCAUCGAUAUUCGUCAUUAUUGCAUCAUCACUUGCACGAUCGAACGUAGAAAGAUAUAUUCAAGUGCAAUUGCAACCAUGGACGUGAGCUGAACUCUGCAAACAAAGCAAACUAAAGAGAGAAAAUAAGUAUUUUUGGGUUUUCCAAAGGUUAAACGAAAGCAAAAGAAAAGAGAAAUCUUUUUGUUGUUUUUGCAAAGACAGAACAAAGAAGAACAUGCAUAAAUUCUGAAAAGACUUUAAAAGGAAACUACGAAUGAUACAAUGGAAGGGGAGAAGGAUACGUACUCCCCCAAGCAUAGGCUUUUGGCCUAAGUUGAGCUCGGCUAUUGCCGUUUCCAGGAUGUUCCUCUGGCUCCGGAGUGGUACUGGUGGCUCCAAGAGUCAAACGAAGCCUCGGGCGCGUACAUUGAUGCCCGGAUGGCCUCCCAAGGAGAAGGUUCUUCUUCCUCGGGAACAACCUCCUCCAUGGGGUUGUGGAACUGCUGCUGGAUCACGAAUUCAUCCAGCUCAGUCGAGGUGAAAGACCAUCCAUUCCUGCUAGUAUAAUCAAACAAUAGUGUUGCAGGUAGACGGAUCUCCCGAGUAGUAAGCUCGCCAAAUCUCAUAAUAUAAACAAGGUUACCAAACUCGGAAGUCCUAGUAACAAACUCAUGCCUCUUCAUAGCGGUAAGAUCAAAGCUUAUGAAUUAAAAAGGCACAUCAUCCGCACGUGCAGUGAUCCCAAGGUGCUCGAGGAUAAGCGUGGCAUAAAUGCCACCAAAGUGAGGCCCUUUGCCGCUGUUAGCGACGAGGUGACAAGCAAUCAAAGCACCAAUAUUAUACGUGUGAUCUCAUAAGAGGGCGGCUGCCAAGAUAGUGAGAUCCGGAGUCGAAAUGUUGCUCGUGUUGUCACGCGCUAACACCCCUCGAGCAAUAUAAUAUGCAAAAUAACUGAUGUGGGGAAACAAGAUGCUGGAGAUCUUCCCCGGGUGAAUUUCUCGCGGGUCCUUACUGCAAAGGGAAGCGAAUAGGGAUUUCAGCUCGUAUGGCUGAACUUUCAUUUUGUUCAUCUUCCCGAAAUUCCGCACACCAAUAAUGUCAGAAAAUUCUGCAAAAGACAUGGUAAAGACAUCCUCAUAUAAUCUAUAUUCAAUCAUGGAAGUUUUACAAUUAUAUCUAAACCAAUUGACAAAAUAAUAAGUGAGUUUUGGGUAUUGUUGCACACGUCGUGUCAUGAGGUGUGUCAAACCUACAGCUGCACACAUGUUAUCAAACUCAUUCUUAAUACCUGCCACCAUAAGAAAAUAUGAACACGGGUAUGCCAUGGCAUGUGCCGUGUCCGUCUUGUGGAACAACUCCGGUGGCACGGUAUCAUCAUUGUAACUAGUCCUCACAGUAGAGGAUGAAGCUGCAGCUCUAGUUAAUCUAUCGGUAGACUCGGGUCUCUUCUUCCCAAGCCAUCCCUUUGCCUUUCCAAACAAGCUCAUUUCGGAAAUUUUUGGUUUACCACAAAAAUGGAGGUUUAAGCAAAAAUGUGUUGGAGCAACCUAUUCUACUCACUCCCCUUAUGCAUAAGCUUGCAUCAAAACUUCACAAAUAAAUUUCUAGGCAUGCAAGCAAGCUCAUAUGAACAGCACCAAGAGCUCCUAAAUACUCACAAAUAAGACCAUCAAUCAAAAUUUUAAUUGGAGUAGUGGAGGAGUCACAUACCACGGAGCAAAUGCUCAAAUUCUCAAUGCAAAUGAUGGGCUGUAGAGAGAGAUCGAAAUUUGCCACCAAGGAUAGCAAGAACUCGAGCUCCAGCAGAAAAAUCGGGAUUUUUGGAGUGAGAGAUAAAGAAGGGAGGAAGAAGUACCUGGAAAGGGGCCGAGGUGGGCCCAGGUGACUUGGUGGCGCGGAUAGGGGCAGGCCGCGCCAGCUGGCCACCUGGACAAAGCGUGCUCCCCCUGGCUGGCCCUAGGUGCCCCUGCAUCACUUUUUUGAAGGAAAUUUUUAUUUUGAUUUUUUUGGAUUUUUUCUAACAACUUCGCUUUUGAUUUUUUUUUCGAAAUAUUAAAAGCUGCAAAACUUCCGGUAAUCUCGAAACAAUAGUUAAACAAAUGAAGUUUCAAAAACAUUAAACUUUGGUACAACAAGGAGGAAGAAAGAUAAAGGAAAUGAAAACAUAACAAGCUUCUCUUUUUACUCAUAUAAAACAUAUUUGUUAGCAAGGUUGAUCAAGUCCCACUACCAAACAGGUGUUAUAUUGAGCAAAAAGUUUCACUUCUUAUAAAGUAAUCAUGUUACCUUUAUUUCAAUGGAUAUUGUCCCCAUCAUAACGGUUUUGUAUUUUUGGUGCACAUGUAGAGGACAAUCCCACUCUCCAACUUUCACGGUAUCAAUAUUCUCACUAGAAUUAAGGCCAUGCCUUUUAUCAAUCUUCUUCGGAAAAUAUACCAUGUGCUCCUUCUCAUUAACAUUGAAGGUCACCUUUCCUUUAUUGCAAUCAAUAAUAGCACCUGCGGUGUUAAGAAAAGGUCUACCAAGAAUAAUAGACAUGCUUCCAUCCUCGGGCAUAUCAAGCACAACAAAGUCACUAAGGAUCAAGCAAUUAGCAACUUCAACGGGAACAUCCUCACAAAUACCUACAGGAACGACUGUUGACUUAUAAACCAUUUGAAGAGAGAUAUCUGUAGAGAUUAGUUUAUCAAGACAUAACCUUUUGUAAAGAGAGGAAGGCAUAACACUCACUCCUGCACCAAGAUCACAUAAAGCAGUUCUGACAUAAUUAUUUUUUAUGGAGAAAGGAAUGGUGGGUAUACCUAGAUCACCAAGAUUCUCAGGAAUCUUUCCACUGAAAGAGUAAUUAGCAAGCAUAGUAGAUAUUGCCCCAUUAGGAACUUCUCUUUUGUUAGUAACAAUAUCUUUCAUAUACCUUGAGUACGAAGGCAGCUUAAUAGCAUCAGUCAAAGGAAUUUGAAGAAAAAGAGGUUUCAUCCAUUCACAAAAUUUAUUGUAAUGCUCUUCUUCUUUAGUUUUGAAAGACUUACGUGGAAAGGACAUUGAUUUUUGUACCCAUGGUUCUCUUUCCUUUCCAUGUUUUCUUGCAACAAAAUAUUCUCUAGUAUACCUUUUGCGCUUAUCUGGUGCAUCUUCUUCUCGUAUCUCAGGAGGAUCAAUCUUCUCAUUAUCUUUAUCAGGUUCAAUACCAUCUUCAGUUUCAGCAUCAGAAAUAGAUAUACUAUUAGGAUCAAUAAUAGGUUCUUCAUCAAUUAUGGGAUCAUUGGAGUGGUCAGCCUCCUUGUGUUUCUUCUUCUUCUUUGGGGAGCUGGCAAUGUCUUCUUCCUGCAAUUGAGAAUCUUGCUCUAUCCUUUUUGGAUGCCCCUCCGGAUAAAGGGGGUCCUGGGUGUGUGUACCUCCUCGGGUCUUUAUACCACAUGCGUGCGUGUCAACUUGUUUGUCAAUGUUAGCAAGCAAAUCUUUUUGCACAUUAGAAAUUUGUUCAAGCUGAGUUUGAACCAUAUGAAAAUGCUUAACAAGACCUUUAACAUCAUUAACAGUUCUACUUAAAACAUCAAGCAAACUUUUGAUAGCAAGGGAAUUAUCAUGCAAUUGGCUUUGAAUCCGCUCAUUAAAGUGAUUUUGCUUGACAAUGAAAUUAUCAAGCUCAUCUAAACAUUGACCAGGAGGCUUACCAUGAGGGACGUCACUUGCAUUGAAUUCUAAAAGGGUGUGUACCGCUACCAUCGGUGGGUGAGUGGUAGGCUUACAUAAUUGCUCAAUAGGAGGUAGAUUCUUCACAUCUUCAGCUUUAAUACAUCUCUCUUUCAUAGACUUCUUGGCUUCUUGCAUAACUUCUGGACUUCAGAAAAGCAUACCUCUCUUCUUGGGUGAUGGAGGUGGUUCAAGAGCGGACCAAUCAUCAUGAUUCUUAGCUAUCUUGCCCAUUAAUUCUUCGGCACCGCCCGGUGUUCUUUCCCUGAAAACACAACCCGCACAACUAUACAGACAGGUUCUAGGUUCAUCGGUCAGACCAACAUAAAAUAAAUCAAGCAAUUCAUUCUUAGGAAUUCCAUGUACCGGUCAAGCCUUAAGCAAAGUGCAAUACCUCCCCCAAGAUUUAGGGAGGUGCUCAUCCUGCAACUGUUUAAAGUUAUAAAUUCUUUGUAAAGCAGCAUGUUGCUUAUGAGCAGGAAAAUAUUUAGCAACAAAAUAUUGAGCUAAAUCUUGAGGACUCUUAAUGGAACCACAUGGUAGUGCAUCAUACCAUGCUUUAGCUUCCUCCUUCAAAGAGAAAGGAAGUAGCUUUGUAACGUAAUAAGUUCUCUUCUUGUCCUGUGUAGUGAAUAAGCCACCCAACUCAGUGAGUUUGGUAAGGUGUGCAAUAGCAUCGUCAUCUUCUCUGCCAUAGAAGGGGUCAACUUCAACUGUGGAUAUAAGUGAAAGAUCAAGAGAGAAAUCAAAGUCAGCAUCAUUAGUACAAAUAGGAGAUGAAGCUAACUUAGGAUGAGGAGUAAAAUUGUUCUUCAUAGAAUGCUUUUCAAGCAACUUCUUAACAGAAGCAGGGUCAGAGUCAGCACACUCUGUAAGUUCCCUGCAUAAAUCAUCAUCAAGUUCAAUAUAAUCAUCAUCUAGAAUUCUUUCCUUGAUACCACUCAAGUCUGGGUAACCGAAAGAUCUACCAAUGGGGUAGCGUGUAACAGGAAGUUCAAUUCCAGACUACUUAGCAGCCUUAGCAAUCUGAGUCUCAAUAAAAUAACCAAGCAAACCAGGCUCAUCAAUAGUAGUGGAAGUAUCAUCAAAAGUAACAGGCAUAGUAACAGAGUCGGUAGAAGCAUCAUGUGAUGGUGGUGAAGCAAACUUACUCAUAGCCGAAGGUGAAUCAAGCGUAGCACUAGUGCUGAGAACCGUACCUUUUCUAGUAGUGGAUGGUAAAAUUGGAACCUUGGGGUCUCCUUUCUUACCCAUAGUGAAUAAUCCGCAGCAAGCAAAAUAACACCAAGUAGACUUGUAAAUAAAGCUAUGCUCCCCGGCAGCGGCGCCAGAAAAAGGUCUUGAUAACCCACAAGUGUAGGGGACCGCAACAGUCUUCGCGGGUAAGUUAACCCAAUUUAUCGAUUCGACACAAGGGGAGCCAAAGAAUAUUUAUAAGCUUUAACAGUUGAGUUGUCAAUUCAACCGCACCUGAAAGAUACUUGCUUGGCAUUGAAAUAUUAGUAGCAACGGUGAUAUGGAAGUGAUGGUGGCAAUAAAAAUAAUAGUGGCAAAGCAACGAAAGUAAAACUGUGAAAGUAAAGUAACUUGUGACUAGCAGGAUUAAAACACUGUAGGCUAAGGAGAUGGAUGGUUGGUCAUGGAUGAGAGAUAUCAUGUAUUUAACUUGGGGAAAGGCUCAUAGAAAGUAAUGAUCAUCCAGGCAUAUAUCAAACAUUAGGCAUGUAUCCCAAGGUAGUCGUACGUGCUUGCAAUAAGAACUUGCACGACAUCUUUUGUCCUACCAUCCCGCUAUCAAUGGGGCCAAAAGGAACUUAUGGAGCUUAAGGUGCUCCUGUCAAAGAGCACCAAAACAAAGCAUUAAAAAUCAAUGGAUACAUGGAAUCCUCAAACUAUAGCCUCUGCCCUUUGGUGUCCCAAGCUGUCACCAUUGGGAUCACCGGUUCCGGGCUAUAAUAGGUGCAUACUACUCAUACAUAGUAUCUAGAACACAAAUAUAUUCAUGAAAACAUAAUGAAUUCAGAUCUGAAAUCAUGGCACUCGGGCCCAAAGUGACAAGCAUUAAGAGUAACAAGUAGUAGCAAAGGUGAUAAACACCAUAGUAGAUGAUAGGCAACAUGCUCCCAACAAUCCGACGAACUAUUGCAUGAUCUAACUCAUCCAAUCUCUCCCACCCCCUUCACCUACAAUAGGGAAUUACUCACACAUGAUGGGAGAAGCCAUGGAAGGAUGAUGGAGUGGUGAUGGUGAUGACAAUGGCGACGAUUUCCCCUCCCGGGAGGCCAAAACAGACUCCAGAUUAGCUCUCCCGAAGAACAACCAAGGGUGGCGACGGCUCCGCGUCGAGAACUCGCAAAACGACUACUCUUCUGGAAUUUCCUCAUCACGGGUAAAAAUAGGAGCCAAAGUAGGGCAACAAAGGGGGUGGGCCCCGCCCAGGCGGCCUCCCGGCGUGGACUGGGGGCAGGCCGUGCCAGCAGGUCGCCUGGGGGGCUUGUGGCUCCCAUCUGGCCCAUCUUCUGGCCCAUGGUCCCUCCCGGUGCGUGCAUUUUCUCUAUUUUUAUGGGAUUUUUCAGGCGCGUCUAAAUAUUCAUUUUCUUGCACACAAGAAAACCAUACAUGCAGCUCUACUGAAAACAGCGUCAGUCCGGGUUAGUUUCAUUCAAAUCAUGCAAGAAUGAGGCCAAAACAAUAGCAAAAAUGUUUGGAAAAGUUGAUACAUUUGAGAUGUAUCAACGUCUCCAGCCCGCAAGAGAGGAGGCACCGCCGAGCCACCCCCGGGUCGGCUGACGACGACGAGGGGCUAAGAGGAAUGGAAAGCAAGUUGUCCCCGCCAAGCCACCUCCCAAGCAUGCUGCAGGGAACCCUCCAGCCGGAGGUCGUGCAGGCGGUUCGAAGAGGGCCCGAGUCGGCCCAGCCAAGGUCCACGUCGUCACAUGGUGAGUCCAUAUUUUGGUUAUCUCCUUUUUGCCCGUGCCCCCUUCUCUUUUGGAAGAGACCUUGCCCAUUCGUGGCAUCGUGUGUAGGCCCCCUCGAUCCUUGAAGGUAGGAGGGAUCUUCGAGCCAGAUCAGACCGCUUGGGACGAGGCAGACGCGGGGCGGCAGGCGUUGCUUGAGGAAGAGUGCCUCCCAUGGGAGGAGGCGAUCAAGAAGGCCACCGCUGGAUCCAACCGUCGCGGGCUCAGGCCGCGUCGAGGUCCCAGCGUCCGACUCCGAGCUGCAGCCGCCGCCUCGGGAGAGGUGGUCGAAGAAGAGGCACGAUCCUGCGACCUAGAAGCAUGCAAGCACCCGGGCCGGAGAAAGGACGCCCGAGGCGGCAUUCGAAGCACCAGAAACCGAGCAGGCCGAUCUACCGGAACCGCCGCCGGAUGCUUCGAGGUUCAGAAUCUCACCGACAAGGCCAAAGGCUCCUGGUGGUAGAGCCGGUGCCACGGACCAUCUGUCCUCCCCGGUGGGUAGCGAAGUCCUCACCGAUCAACCACCUCACCGGCAUGAAACACCUUCGGAGCCGGCAAGGAGCACACCUCCGGGAGACGACACCUUGGUGGUGUCCACCCGCGCGUCGCCCGCGUCCUGAGCCGGCUCUAGCUCGGGGAGCCGGCCCAUUGAGUCCUACAAUGCGGCCCUUGCAAGCCGCAAGAGCCUGCCCCUUGGCACCAUGCUGAGGGGAGUCCCGGCGCUCGCAGCAGCGUUCAUCCGGAGUCGCGAGCAUGUGGCACAGGCGGCCGAUGUGGCGCAGGAGGACUGAACUGCCUCGAGCAGUGGUUUGAGGUAAAGUCCUUCAUCUUCUUAUGAUUUUGUUGCAAAAUUUGCUCUUUCGAUUUUCUUGCUUCAGUGGGGGGCGUGCUAGCGCACCCACUGGGUGUAGUCCCCGAUAGUCUGGCCGACUAGGAAUUAGCCAGCUCGAGUCUCAUUUGUGGCGGCCAUUCUUUCUUCUUUUUCCAGUGGGGGCGUGCAAGCGCACCCAGUGGGUGUAGCCCCCAAGAGUCAAGCCGGCUAGAAGCCUGCCGGGCCGAGUCUUACUUGAGGCUAACUUUUUUUAUCCCUUGUGAUGUAGGAGCUAUAUGACAGCCGUGCGGACGCCCACAACGCCGUGCUGAGCCGGCUCCACGAGUGUGAGGGCCAACUAGCCGGCCUUCGCAGCCAGCUAGAGCGAGUCGGUCCAGAGCAAGAGGCCUUGCGUGGCGAAGGCGCCCGGCUGCGCCAGGAGGUGGAACUUCUCCAAAAGGAGAAGGAGGACCGCGAGGCAGCCCACCAGGCGGAGUUGGAGCAGCAGCGCGUCGCUCAUCGCGACGCCUUGGAAAAGGUGGGGGAAUCCCACCGCGAUGCCUUGUCGUAGAAGGAUUCAUCUUACGCCGCCGAGCUGGAUCGACCGGAGCAGGCACGCCUCCAGGAGAAGGGGCAUUAUGAUGCGUCUUUGAAGGAGAAGGAUGCCCAGCUGACCAGGGAGGUCGAGGCGUCCAAGGCCGCAUGUGUUGAGCUUGCUUGCCGGACUCGUGAGCACGAGGUCCGGGACCGAGAGCUCGACGAAGAGGCGGGCGAGGUCGACAUCCUCCUCUCAAGUGAGUUCUCCCCCUUCUGCUUUGUUCUUAUUGUCUUCCCUUUUCCUUUGCGCCGUGUGCUGACCCUCGCCUCCCAGAUCUAUUUUCGUGGACGAGAGAGGCGGCCGAAGCAGCCGUGGAGACCCAUCGCGAGGAGCAACAGGCGAAUGGCGUCGAGGUGCGGGAUGACGCCAGCUGGAGCGUGGUGGAGGUGGCGGUCGCCGCUAAAGCUCGUAUACACAAGCCGGGGCAGGCCACGAGCCGUCUUCAGAAGGCCGGCCUGGCGAUGGUCGAGGCCCUCUGGCUAGACGCGGUGGAGCCAGCGUCGAUGAGCCUGCUAGCCCGUUGGCUCGAGGCAGGGAGCUCCCGCUUGGAUGCUUGGCGUGCCUCGACAGCGCAUGUCGGCUCAUAUAUGGUACUCCAGCUUGCCAGGUCAUGGUACCGUGGCUUUGACCUGAGCCUGCUUACAGCUCAGCACAAGGGCACAGAGGAGGAGCUGGCUGCUACCGAGGACGAGCUGUAGGUGCGGGCCACCGACAUCGCCUCGUUGCCGCGUGGAAUGAGUACUCUAUGGAGCGCAGGGCUGGCGGAGUUGUGGUCCUAGCGGACAAAUUCCAGUUGGCCCUCAAUGAUCCCGACGAUAGCUCUGAUGAGACGGGCCUUGAGGAUGCUGAGUCCAGUGGUGAAGCCUACGACGACUCCACCGCAGGAGGUGGCUCCAUUGUGAAGGGUGGCGCUGGAGACGCCACAACGGAUGACGAGGCAUCCACCUCAACUGCCCCAGGCAGUGCCGGGCCCGAUGGUGAAGCCGCCACCACUUGAAGCUUUUUAUUUUUCCUGCAUUUUUUAGUUAGCUCUGCAGUUCCACCCACUAGGAGGGGUGUAAUGUAAUGAACCUUGGCCAUGGGCCUCCAUAUAUUUUGUAUAAUAUAUGCUUGUUUGCCUAAAAUUGUGCCUGAGAAGGCUGUGCUUACCGACUCACUUUUCAGUCCCUUUGCCCUCUUAGCUUCAUUUACCCCAAAGAUUUGGCCUUGUCCAGCUUCCGCCUUGCCAGCCCGACAGCCGGGAGCCGGUCUAUGACUGGGUCGAGGCUUCUUCCUUCCAGGGUGUAUGCCUUAAGUUUUUUGAAGCUACGAGGAUGUUAAGACUUAGAGCGAGUUGACAGAGGCCGGCUAGAACAAGGAAUAAAUAUGGGAAGCGAUCAGAGGAGCCCGAGCUGGCCCUUUGUAGCCGAACCUUUCACGCAACCGGCCUUCCUAUCCAGAGGCCCGCUAGCCGGACAGCCUGGAGCCGGUCUAUAGCUUCCACAGGAUGGAUAAGGUUUAGCUCAGCGUGCUCUAUGUGUUUGACGGCGAAUGAGAUAUGGACCCGGACCGGCCAGCGAGCCCCCGGGUGCGAGGAGUCGUCCCAGGGGACUUGCUCUUUGAAGCAGCAGUCCUUUGAUGAAUCGAAAAAGGGGCAUGUCUCAAGCAACGGCUUGAGACACGCAUUGCAUUGAUUGAAAUCCCUAAAGGGUAAAAGAUACAUACGUACACAUUUUGUUUCUUUGGUUCUAGCAGUAGAACGGGCAAAGCAAUGCCGCGUUCCAAGGACGCUCCGUCUCUUCGCCGGAGGCAUCUCUCUUGUGCUUCUGCGGCUUCUGUGCGUCUAUCAGGUAGUACGCAUUGUUGUGCAGCGCCCUGCUGAUGAUGAAGGAUCCCUCCCGUGGGGAGGAAAUCUUGUGCUGGUCGGCCGUUUGUUGGAUUCUUCUGAGCACUAGGUCCGCCUCGCGAAAAGAGAGGGGCCCGAUCCUCUUACUGUGGUAGUGCCUCAGCUUCUGCUGGUAGAUGGCCGACUGGCUCGGGUCCAGUUCCCAUGCCUCCUCGAUUAGAUCGACUCCGUCUUGUCUUGCCUCCGUUGCCUCUACCUUCGUGUACACGGUCACCCCAGGUGAUUCGAACUCAACAUCCGUGGGGAUGACCGCCUCGGACCUAUAGACGAGGAAGAAUGGCGUGAAUCUAGUGGACCGGUUUGGUGUGGUGCGGAGGCUCCACAUCACAACCGGAAACUCUUCGAUCCAGCAGUCGGCCGACCUGACGAGCGACACCACCAGUCUUGGCUUGAUGCCGGCUAGAAUCAGACUAUUUGCCCUCUCCACCUGGUCGUUCGACUGUGGGUGGGCAACCGAUUCUAGGUCGAGCCGGAUGCUUUCCUUGGCCCAAAAGAGUGCCAUUGCACCUUUGGCGAAGUUAGUACUGUUGUCGGUGAUGAUGGUGUGAGGGACGCCAUAAUGGACUAUGAUGUCCUUGAUCAACGUGACAGUCAUGGGACCGUCAAGCUUCAUGAUUGGCAUGACUAUAAUCCAUUUGCUGAACUUGUCGACGGCUACCAGGAGAUGAGUCAUGCCGCCGCGAACUGUCUUGAAAGGCCUCACCAUGUCGAGCCCCCAGAUAGUGAAAGGCCAUGAGAGGGGGACGGUCUUGAGUGCCGUAGCCGAAAAGUGGUUUUGCACACUGAAACGUUGGUACCCUUCACACUUGUCGACCAACGACGUGGCCUCCUUCAGGGCAGUGGGCCAGCAAAAUCCGUGGCAGAACGCCUUGGCCACCAGGGUUCUAGAGGUGGCAUGAUGCCCGCACUCGCCCUGAUGUAUGUCUUUGAGGAUCUCCUGCCCCUUCUCCGGCUCGACACAACGCUGGAAUACACCGGUUGCGGUGCGCCGAACCAGCUCGUGGUUCAUGAUGGCGUAGGCAAGAUACCGGCGCUGAAUCUGUCAUGCCUCAGCCUCGUCACGAGACAGCUCACCAUGCAAGAGGAAAGCUAGGAUGGGCUGCGUCCAUGUAGGAGCCUUCACGACAUCCGGUUCCGGCUCGACAUGAGUACCGGGAAGAGCCGAAGCCCUCGGGUCUGUCGUUGUAGCCCACGAGACGGAACUGUAUGGCGCUGAAACCGGCUCGGCAUCUGACAUACCGUCAACAUCCAUGACGGACACCGGCUUGGAUUCAAGUUGACUGCGCCCGGGUUGUCUCGCACCGGGCGACGUUUGUGGAGCCGGCGGGGCAGCUGGAGUCGGCGAAGUGGUUGGAGCCGACGGAGCCUCUGGAGCUGACGUGGUCGGGCCAGAGGAGUCCGCGGGCACGAAGAUCGACGUUGAUUUUGGAGAUGGCUUGAUGGAUGGCUUGAAAAGGUGCUCGAGGGAGAAGCCAACCGGGAUUGCUUGCCUGGUGGAGCCGAUUAUUGCCAAGGUAUCGACCGCCUCGUUGUCCGCUCGGGGGACAUGAUGGAAUUCGCAGCCCUCGAAAGGGCCGCUCAGCUCCUGCAUGAGGAAGCAGUAGCUGGCCAUGUUGGCAUCCCUGGCUUCCCAUUUGUCGAAGACUUGCUGGACCACGAGGUCGGAGUCACCGAAGCAGAUAAUCCUCUGGAUGCCAAUCUCCUUGGCAAGCCGGAGGCUGUGUGUGAGCACUUCGUACUCGGCGAUGUUGUUGGAGGCGGCGAAGUGGAUCUACAGAGCAUAUUUGAGCUGGUUCCCUUUCAGGGACGACAGGACAAUGCCGGCCCCCAGCCCAGUUCGCAUCUUGGAGCCGUCAAAGUGCAUCCGCAAAUGAGUGGAGUCGGGAGGCAGCGGCAAAAACUGGGCCUCAGCCCAAUUGACAAGGAAGUCGUGGUGGAUGUCGUGGUCGACCAUCUGAUGGACCACUUGGCGAUCCGGCCGGUGGCAUCACGGUUGCCCAUGAUUUGUGAAAGUGGAUCCUUGCUCACGACUGUGAUGGUGUGCUCUGAUGACCCACAAGUAUAGGGGAUCAAUCGUAGUCCUUUCUAUAAGUAAGAGUGUUGAACCCAACGAGGAGCAGAAGGAUCUGACAAGUGGUUUUCAGCAAGGAAAUAUAUCUGCAAGCACUAAAAUUGUCGGCAACAAGUGAUUGUGUGGUGAGAUGAUUCGUAGCAAGCAACAAGUAACAAAAGUAGAAACUGUGCAGCAAAGUGUCCCAAUCCCUUUUGUAGCAAGGGACAAGCCUGGACAAAGGCUUAUAGGAGGAAAAACACUCCCGAGGACACACGGGAAUUUCUGUCAUGCUAGUUUCAUCAUGUUCAUAUGAUUCGCGUUCGUUACUUUGAUAGUUUGAUAUGUGGGUGGACCGGCGCUUGGGUACUUCCCUUACUUGGACACGCAUCCCACUUAUGAUUAACCCCUCUCGCAAGCAUCCGCAACUACGAAAGAAGAAUUAAGACAAAGUCUAGCCAUAGCAUUAAACUAGUGGAUCCAAAUCAGCCCCUUACAAAGUAACGCAUAAACUAGGGUUUAAGCUUCUGUCACUCUAGCAACCCAUCAUCUACUUACUACUUCCCAAUGCCUUCCUCUAGGCCCAAAUAAUGGUGAAGUGUUAUGUGGUCGACGUUCACAUAACACCACUAGAGGAAAAACAACAUACAACCACUACAGGAAUCAACUUCUUUCCCGUCUGCCAUCACAGACGGCAAAGACUAAAUUCCGGACGGCAAAGACAAAACAGCAGACGACAAAGAAUCUCACGGCCGGAAAAAUUUCUGCGUUAGCCUACGACGGCAUAGGACCUUCUUUGCCGUUUGUCCCCCAAAGUGGACGGCAAAGCUCUUUGCCGUCAGCUUUCCUUUGGAGCAGUCCGCAAAGUGCUCGAGACGGCAGCCGACAGGCGUUGCCUCCGUUAGGGGUUAACUAAGGCUUUGCCGUCUGCCUCCCCCUUAAUCUUUGCCGUCUGCCUCCCCCUUUAUCUUUGCCGUCUGCCUCCUCCUCCUCCCCCCUCCACUCUUUGCCGUCGGCCUCCCCCUUUAUCUUUGCCGUCUGCCUCCUCCUCCUCCCCCCUCCACUCUUUGCCAUCUGCCUCCUCCUCCCCCCUCCUCUGUGCCCUCUUCUUUGCUGUCUUCCCACCCUGGAGGCAGACGACAAAGAGCCUAUAUAGACACCCCAGGAUGCACAGCUGGGUGCCAUGUGGCACCUUUGCCAUCUGCCAGCUGAUGGCACAGGUCUUUGCCAUCAGCUGGCGGACGACAAAGAGCCCAUAUAGUACCUGUUUUUUUGUUUUAUAUUAUUUCACAGCACACACACCCCCACAUUUAUAUAAUUCACCACACAUAUACUUGCCAACACAUAUAUAUAUAAUUCACCACACAUAUAUGAUAUACAUAUAAAUCAAUGUACAUCCCCAUAUAUCGAAAGAACCAACAUACAAAGUAUUGCAGUGUUUAUCCAUAUCUACAUAUACAUAUAGUUCGACAUUGUUCAUCAACUCAAAUGAAAACUAGAUGAUAUACAUAUAAAGUUCAUCCAUCAACAUUGUUCAACUCCAUGAAUGCCAGCUUCCAUGCAUGUAGUAUAUCCAAUCUGGAAAAAUGUGAACAAGAAAGUCAGAAGAAGAACAAAAUAUGAUGUUUUUCAGCUAAUUAUGUCAUUUUUAGCGGAAAAUAAGCUAAGAGUAUAAUAUUCAUGAGCUAACCAAGGUUCUUAUGCCAUUUUUAGCUUAUUAUGGCAUUUUGGAGCUAAAUGGGUUAAUUAAAGCAAGGAUAAUAUGAAAGAGGAGAAGAAAGAGGAGGGNNNNNNNNNNNNNNNNNNNNNNNNNNNNNNNNNNNNNNNNNNNNNNNNNNNNNNNNNNNNNNNNNNNNNNNNNNNNNNNNUAAUAUUCAUGAGCUAACCAAGGUUCUUAUGCCAUUUUGAGCUUAUUAUGGUAUUUUGGAGCUAAAUGGGCUAAUUAUCCCAUAUUAGAUGAAAACAAGCUAAGUAUGUAAUAUUCAUGAGCUAACCAAGGUUCUUAUGCCAUUUUGAGCUUAUUAUGGUAUUUUGGAGCUAAAUGGGCUAAUUAUGUCAUUGUUGGGGAAAUUAAAGCAAGGAUAAUAUGAAAGAGGAGAAUAAAGAGGAGGAGGAGGAGAAUAAGAAGAAAUCAAGAAGAAGGAGGAGAAGGACUGUCUCUUAUACACAUCUCUGAGCGGGCUGGCAAGGCNUAGAGGAAAACAAGCUAAGUAUAUAAUAUUCAUGAGCUAACCAAGGAUCUUAUGCCAUUUUGAGCUUAUUAUGAUAUUUGGGAGCUAAAUGGGCUAAUUAUGUCAUUGUUGGGGAAAUUAAAGCAAGGAUAAUAUGAAAGAGGAGAAGAAAGAGGAGGAGGAGGAGAAUAAGAAGAAAUCAAGAAGAAGGAGGAGAAGGACUGUCUCUUAUACACAUCUCUGAGCGGGCUGGCAAGGCNNNNNNUAAUAUUCAUGAGCUAACCAAGGUUCUUAUGCCAUUUUGAGCUUAUUAUGGUAUUUUUGAGCUAAAUGGGCUAAUUAUGUCAUUGUUGGGGAAAUUAAAGCAAGGAUAAUAUGAAAGAGGAUAAUAAAUAGGAGGAGUAGGAGAAGAAGAAGAAAUCAAGAAGGAGGAGAAGGGGGAGAAGGNAGCGCGUUGAUUGUUCAUUUGGAGUUGCUUCUUCUUCUUCUUUCUUUUCAUUUUGCCUAUUUCUUCUCCUCUUCUCCUCUUGUUGGGGCUAAAUUACCUAAUUAUGUCUUCUUGGAGCUAAAUGGGUUAAUUAUCCCAUUUUAGAGAAAACAAGCUAACUAUAUAAUAUUCAUGAGCUAACCAAGGUUCUUAUGCCAUUUUGAGCUUAUUAUGGUAUUUUGGAGCUAAAUGGGCUAAUUAUGUCAUUGUUGGNNNNNNNNNNNNNNNNNNNNNNNNNNNNNNNNNNNNNNNNNNNNNNNNNNNNNNNNNNNNNNNNNNNNNNNNNNNNNNNNNNNNNNNNNNNNNNNNNNNNNNNNNNNNNNNNNNNNNNNNNNNNNNNNNNNNNNNNNNNNNNNNNNNNNNNNNNNNNNNNNNNNNNNNNNNNNNNNNNNNNNNNNNNNNNNNNNNNNNNNNNNNNNNNNNNNNNNNNNNNNNNNNNNNNNNNNNNNNNNNNNNNNNNNNNNNNNNNNNNNNNNNNNNNNNNNNNNNNNNNNNNNNNNNNNNNNNNNNNNNNNNNNNNNNNNNNNNNNNNNNNNNNNNNNNNNNNNNNNNNNNNNNNNNNNNNNNNNNNNNNNNNNNNNNNNNNNNNNNNNNNNNNNNNNNNNNNNNNNNNNNNNNNNNNNNNNNNNNNNNNNNNNNNNNNNNNNNNNNNNNNNNNNNNNNNNNNNNNNNNNNNNNNNNNNNNNNNNNNNNNNNNNNNNNNNNNNNNNNNNNNNNNNNNNNNNNNNNNNNNNNNNNNNNNNNNNNNNNNNNNNNNNNNNNNNNNNNNNNNNNNNNNNNNNNNNNNNNNNNNNNNNNNNNNNNNNNNNNNNNNNNNNNNNNNNNNNNNNNNNNNNNNNNNNNNNNNNNNNNNNNNNNNNNNNNNNNNNNNNNNNNNNNNNNNNNNNNNNNNNNNNNNNNNNNNNNNNNNNNNNNNNNNNNNNNNNNNNNNNNNNNNNNNNNNNNNNNNNNNNNNNNNNNNNNNNNNNNNNNNNNNNNNNNNNNNNNNNNNNNNNNNNNNNNNNNNNNNNNNNNNNNNNNNNNNNNNNNNNNNNNNNNNNNNNNNNNNNNNNNNNNNNNNNNNNNNNNNNNNNNNNNNNNNNNNNNNNNNNNNNNNNNNNNNNNNNNNNNNNNNNNNNNNNNNNNNNNNNNNNNNNNNNNNNNNNNNNNNNNNNNNNNNNNNNNNNNNNNNNNNNNNNNNNNNNNNNNNNNNNNNNNNNNNNNNNNNNNNNNNNNNNNNNNNNNNNNNNNNNNNNNNNNNNNNNNNNNNNNNNNNNNNNNNNNNNNNNNNNNNNNNNNNNNNNNNNNNNNNNNNNNNNNNNNNNNNNNNNNNNNNNNNNNNNNNNNNNNNNNNNNNNNNNNNNNNNNNNNNNNNNNNNNNNNNNNNNNNNNNNNNNNNNNNNNNNNNNNNNNNNNNNNNNNNNNNNNNNNNNNNNNNNNNNNNNNNNNNNNNNNNNNNNNNNNNNNNNNNNNNNNNNNNNNNNNNNNNNNNNNNNNNNNNNNNNNNNNNNNNNNNNNNNNNNNNNNNNNNNUUCUUCUUCUUCUACUUUUUCUUAUUUUCUUCUACUAAAUAGGAAACUAACCUAAGACUAAACAUAAUCGUAAACUAAACUAAAACUGAACCUAAGCCAAAACAAACCUAAAACCUAUAACUAAUUAUACAAAACUAUUACAAAAAAAGCUAAAAAAACUGACCUCCAUCCGGUGGCCCAGGGAGGAGAGGCGCGGGGAGGAGGGCCGCAGGGGGGAGGGUCCCGAGGAGGGCAUGGGGAGAAGGGGCCGCAGGGGGGAGGGGCGUGAGGAGGAGAGGCGCGGGGAGGAGGCCCGCAGGGNACGUUAGGGGUCCAUCCCCUUUGCCGUGUGCCGCGGACGGCAAAGUUAGUUAGGCAGACGGCAAAGGGGUGGGUGGGGCGGGGUGGGGUGGGGCGGCGGUGCUGGGGUGUUGCGGCGGCGCUGGGGUGGGGUGGCGUUAGCGGCGCUGGGGGGUGGAGGUUGCGGUGGAGAGAGAGGGGAGAGAUAGUGGGGGAGCGCGUGGGUAGGACGACCGUUAACGUUAGGGGUCCAUCCCCUUUGCCGUGUGCCGCGGACGGCAAAGUUAGUUAGGCAGACGGCAAAGGGGUGGGUGGGGCGGGGUGGGGUGGGGAGAGAGGAGAGGUGGGGUGGGAUAGGUUUGCCGUCUGCCUUCACUACCUUUGCCAUCUGUUGACGGACGGCAAAGCCCUGGGCGAUGGCAAAUAUUCUUUUUACCAUCAGUGAGCCCUUUACCGUCCGCUUUAUGCCAGCUGACGGCAAAGAGGGUCUUUGCCAUCAGCCAGCAGACGGCAAAGCCCUAGCUGAUGGCAAAUUAUUGUUUUCCAGUAGUGAACACAUCAAAAUAUCGAACGAAUACCAAAUUCACAUGACUACUAUUAGCAUGACUUAUCCCAUGUCCUCAGGAACAAAAGUAACUACUCACAAAGCAUAAUCACAGUCAUGACCAGAGAGGUAAUGAGUAGCAUCAAGGAUCUGAACAUAAACUCUUCCACCAAAUAAUCCAACUAGCAUCAACUACAAAGAGAGGUAAUAACACUACUAGCAAGCUUACAAGUACCAAUCGGAGUCGCGAGACGGAGAUCGGUUACAAGAGAUGAACUAGGGUUUGGAGAUGAGAUGGUGUUGAUGAAGAUGUUUAUGGUUGUGGGGACCCCGACUAGCAAGUCGAGUUCGCCGUGCCCAGUGACCCCAAGGAUCAAUGUUCACUGAACACAGAUACUGAAUAAUAGAGUCUUACAUCCAAGUACCGAAAUUAUUACAUCGAACGACCAGAAGGUCGGGUUCAAGAGCGGGGCCUAAAGCCAAAUAAACAAAUACAUCGAGUCCCAUGCCAUCAAGCCUACACCGACAGGCAUUCUGACUUGGAAGCGUCCUAGAUCGCAGCUUCGUCUCCGACGGCGUACUCGUCGCCAAACUCCGGUCCUUCCAUGUCUGGUCAAUAAUAUAACCAGUGGCAAGCCAAUGAGUACUUUGAAUGUACUCGCAAACAGCCCAUGAUAUGAACAUUGAUAACGAAGAAAAAUAAUAACAAGUAUCUAUGGUGGAAUGCAAUUUCGUGGAAUGAUCAGGUAUAUGCAACAAGUUAAAGAAUUACUCUUGAAGAACAGGUUACAGAUAUCGACAUAUCUGCUAAGGGUUGAACACACCGGGUUCACCCUAUAUGCCAAGUCAUCGGACUUGUCACAACCUCAAUGUAUUAAUGAGGGCUAAACCAUCCGGGUUUACCCUAUAUGCCAAGUCACCGAACUUGGUCAUAUUAUUACUCUCAAAACAACACCUUUUUAACACCACACACACACUCACACUUGGUUUAUGCGGAAAUGCUGGACGUAGUUUAAGCAGCACCACCCAACUGUCCUUGACCGUGGACACGGCUAUUCGAACAGUUUACACUCUGCAGAGGUAGUACGCUGGAUCCACGAGAAACGGGAAAAUUCCGUGUCAUCCACGACUCGCGGUAUAUCACAUAUACCCGAGGUAAGUACCCGACCAUCAUCUUUCCCCUGACGAUACUAGACAAAGAGGUCCACUCGAUUGGUACCCAGCCCACAUGUUGUACGUCUUACGAGCACCGACUCUGGACAGUAUCAACCAUGCGGGGACCAACGGUGUGCCUGGAACUCAUAAUAAUGGCAUAGUCGUCCUACCUGACACGACCCCAUCACGAGAGUGACACCGAUCACUCCCGCAACUAGUAAUGUGGCUCUUUGCUAGUACCGACCAGAGUAAUCAACAAAGCCCCGUCCCAUAAAGGGGUAUCGUGGUCGUACUGAUAAGGUUGGGAUGGUCGACACAUCAAAAAUCUAAUCCCAUUUCCGAAACCAUACUCACACAAAAACACCGGUGCAUCACUUCACCAAAAGUGAUCACCAACUCAUCAUCACCCUCGGGCAUUAGUGGCACCCGACGGGGUUUUCAUAAACUCUUUAUUUAACUCAUCAUCGUGCUCAUGAUAAUAUACUCUAUCUUUACUUGUCAACAUGGUAAUAACAUGACCGUCAAGGGGUAGGGUCAAGCUCAAUGCCAUGAUCUUACUCUACUAGUCAACAUGACAGUAGCAUGAUCCUCAUAAGUGGUAGGGUCAAGCUCAUCAUGUUUGUGCUCUGAGGAGCCACAUUUAUAACAUCAUCAACAUGCAAGGGCUUUGAAAAAGCCUCCGGUGCCAUCACCACAAUGAUGAACCAGCAUCGUGAUCACAUGCAACGAGAAAAUACCAACUAUACUAGCAUGCAACAAUGUUUGUGCUCAAGUCAUGGUCAAAGGGCUGCUUGCCUUGGUCAGCUAGGUUUCCGAGGUCUUCGAGGUCUUCCGCUCCGGAUCCUUCUAUAGNNNNNNNNNNNNNNNNNNNNNNNNNNNNNNNNNNNNNNNNNNNNNNNNNNNNNNNNNNNNNNNNNNNNNNNNNNNNNNNNNNNNNNNNNNNNNNNNNNNNCAUGGAGAUUCUUGCUAUCAUCCCCGAUUGGACUGUGUCGUUCAUUGCAUACAUCCUGAGGCAAGAAUUACCAGAAGACGAAGUCCAAGCCAGACAGAUCGUCCGCAGGUCAAAGUCGUUCACCGUCAUUGAUGGCCAGCUGUACAAGGAAAGCGUUUCAGGCGUCCUUCAACGAUGCAUCUCCCGUGAGGAGGGACAGUUAAUCCUGGAAGAAAUUCACUCGGGAACCUGCGGUCAUCAUGCCUCCUCAAGGGCAAUCGUCGCCAAAGCAUUCAGAGUUGGCUUCUUCUGGUUGCAGGCGAACGAAAUGGCGAAGGAUAUGGUCGACUGAUGCGAAGGCUGUCAGUUCUACUCGAACAAGUCCCACAAGCCAACAUCUGCAUUGAAGACAAUCCCUCUUGUUUGGCCGUUUGCAGUGUGGGGAUUAGAUACAGUCGGUCCAUUCAAGACAGGCCAAGGGGGAUUCACACAUCUGUUGGUGGCAGUCGACAAGUUCACAAAGUGGAUUGAAGCCAAGCUCAUCAAGAAGCUCGACGCCCUUACGGCCAUCAAGUUUGUCAGGGACAUCAUCUCCAGAUUCGGGGUACCACACAGCAUAAUCACUAACAAUGGCACAAACUGUGAAUCGGACAGAUUCAAAGGUUUCUGUACAGGCCAAGGUAUCCGAGUGGAUUUUGCAUCUGUGGCGCAUCCCCAAACAAACGGGCAAGUAGAGCGGGCGAAUGGACUUAUUCUUCAAGGGAUGAAACCUCGACUCUUGCGAGAAGUGGGACAUGCUGUCGGCGCAUGGGUCACUGAGCUACCUUCGGUGUUGUGGGGUCUCCGCACAACCCCAAAUAGAUCUACAGGGCGAUCCCCGUUCUUCCUCGUUUACGGAGCAGAGGCGGUCCUUCCGACUGACUUGCUUCACAAUGCUCCACGAGUUGAACUCUUCUCCGAGGCCGAAGCAGAGCAAGCAAGGCAAGACGGAGUGGAUCUUCUAGAAGAGGAGCACGAGAUGGCACUGACUCGCUCAACCAUUUAUCAACAAGAUCUGCGGCAUUUUCACGCGCGACAUGUCAGGAGUCGUACAUUCCAAGCAGGCGACCUGAUGCUCCGAGUGGAUCAGCAGAGACCUCACAAGUUGGCUCCCGCCUGGGAAGGACCCUUCAUCAUCUCCAAGGUGCUGAACAACGGAGCAUAUCGACUCUACAACCUCGACAGGGAAACGGACAAGCCGCGAGCAUGGAACGGAGAUCUCCUGAAGCGCUUCUACACGUGACCGUCGACUGAAGCAAUGUAAAGAACAAGUAUCGUUGAAGUAAUACAAAGCAGAUUGAGCUUUUGCAGAAUCAAAAUUCUUCCGCGUUCGUAGACUCCGGUCUCAAAAAANNNNNNNNNNNNNNNNNNNNNNNNNNNNNNNNNNNNNNNNNNNNNNNNNNNNNNNNNNNNNNNNNNNNNNNNNNNNNNNNNNNNNNNNNNNNNNNNNNNNCCCCCCCCCAUUUAUAAGAAUUUAUCGAGCGAUCACGCAAGAUCUAUUGACGCAAAGAAAUGAAGUGAUAAGUCCGAGUGGAUUGCGUUUGGAGGCGGGAGCCCCAUAACACACACGCACACACAGAUGAGAAUCGUAUCCGAGCCGCUCCAUACACCCCGUUUGCGUCGGAAUCCUCCUCCCGGGAGGACGUGUCUAUCUAUCAAUCUAUCUAUAUCGAGAUACCAGUAAUCUGAAAUCAUGGGAAAACAGCCCGUGUGCGCCCCUCGCCCUCCCUAAUGAUCGACCCAUGCGUGCAGGCGGGGCAGUGGUUGGGCAUUAAACAAGUGAGGACGAGGAGGAAGGUCGCCUCGCUCGCUCAAGUGGGAUGGCAGCCGGCGAGCCGCUAGGUCCCCCCGUAACUGAAAACAUUGGCUCCGCUGGGAUCGGCGGACCUACGGACGGAGCACUCGAGUGGGUAUAAAUGGGCAGCCGGGCUCGUAUCGUAUCCUCCGCCAUGAUGGCGCGGAAAGAUACUCGCAGCUCGCAGGCAGCCGCGCCGCGCCGCGCAGCAGGAAACGAACCCCGCGGCGCCCGUGCGCGCACGCCGGCCAGCCGUCUGGCUGGCUCGCCGCUUUCCACACGCUUCUUUUCAUUAAAUAAAGAUUAAAGAAUCUUGUAGCGGACUCGCGCGGCCUCUCCAAUUGGAUGGAAUACUAAUUCUUUUCGAUUUGGAUCACGUCGCUGUUGAGAAAGGUCACGGGUAACAACAAGCCGUAAUUACACGGCUCAAGUGAACAAAUCUUUGUGAUUAGGGAGGGAGAGAUGGUUGAUUGAUAUAUACUACUACUAGUACUAGUGCAUCUGUGAUCCGUUCAAUGCCCGCUCUGACCAUCGCCGCCACGGCACACCGGUCGGCCAUGCUCGCCGCUUGCUUGUUUAUUCCUCGCAGCUCGCGUCCGGUCAGUAAACAAAGUUCUACUCCUGGCCAUAUUACCUGCCGCGGCUUAGUUAAUCAGGAAAGGUGGUGGUAUGUUACGUAGAGUACUAGGAGUAAAAAAACAAGAGAGCAGCUAGAGCUAGCCCUCAAGGUCGUCGUGGGCGUGUCGGGAGCCAUCAACCAGGGGCCUCUUCCUCCGUGACCCUGCCGCCCCGGAGGACGGAGGUGGCUGUCUGUUCUGCCUCUCGGCGUGCGUGUGCGUGUGCGUGCGUGUGUCACUGCCGCAGCGCAAUAAAUAAGCAGCCCUCCGUUCCCGACCUCGCUCGUCUGCCUCCUCUCGCCUCGUCCAUGGGAUGACGGGGCCGCCUUGACUUUUCGUGCCCAUGUUGAGUUUGAGUGCCGCAUCUGCAACUCCCGGCUCCUCCUGAGACAAGCAAGCAACAAGAAAGAAUCCUUCCUCCUGCACCCGGCGCCGGCGACCUCUUGCGGCGUGUUUCUUGCUGGCUGGCUGGCUGGCAUUGGUAGCGGGCGAUGGGGAACUGCGCGGCGAGAGGGGACACGGCGGUCNGAAGAGGCGGCGGGGGAGGUGGAAGGCGCCGCGGGAGGACCAGCUGGGGACGGUCCCCGGGCGGAUCUUCUCCAACGACGGCCGCAGCCGCACAGCCUCCGUCUUCACGCAGCAGGGCCGCAAGGGGAUCAACCAGGACGCCAUGCUCAUCUGGGAUGUAAGCUACUAACCAACAGCCCGAGAAUCACUCCCCCUCCAUCUCUCCCCUCCCUCCUUCCCAUUUCGAGGCGAUUAGAUUGAUCCGGCCGAUGUGGUCCAAUGGACAUGGUGGCAGGGGUUCGGCGGGGAGGAGGACGGCGUGCUGUGCGGGGUGUUCGACGGCCACGGGCCGCACGGCCACCUGGUGGCGCGCAGGGUGCGGGACUCGCUGCCGCUCAGGCUCAUGUCCGCCGCGCGCGCCUCGCCCAAGACCGGGCUGGACAUGCCGGCCACCGCCUGGAGGAAGGCCUUCACGCGCGCCUACAAGGCCAUGGACAAGGACCUGCGCUCCCACCCCUCGCUCGACAGCUUCUGCAGCGGCAGCACCGCCGUCACCGUCCUCAAGCUCGUACGUCCGGACAUUCACAUUCACAUACUCUUCUGCG